AAAAAAAAAAACUUAUGUUAAUUUGUCAUCAAGAGUUAUUAACAUAAUUGCAGAAUCAAAAAGGGCCUGUAAUGGUGAAAAGAUGGCUGCGAUAAUCUGCUGUGUGAUGCAGCUUAGGCUUCUUUUCUUUUUUGGAAAUGCAGAGUAACAUUUUUUUCCCUCAUUUUCUCCAAAUUCUUUUGCAUGGAAUUCACCACGACAGCCAUUGGCAUGCUCAAAUUCUUUGAAUCGAGUCCACAUCGACAACACUAUCCAAAUGAAUAGCAAUGACAGCCAUGCUGCUACUAUCAACCAGAGUGGUGCUUUUUGGAGGCAACUGCAGGCAUAUAUAUGACUAUUAGAUUAAGAGAGAAUCCUCUCUAGGCAUUCAGCAACUUUGUUGGUUUUGUUCUUCAAAUAAUGUUGUUGUUGUUUUAAGGGCUUCCAUGAGUUCUGAAGCUGGAUGUUGCUAAUAAGUUUCAGUACGCAUCGCAUGUUGAACUUUUUUUGGUAGAAAUAUAUGUCUACUUCAUCUCCAUGACUCCAUGCAUGUGAAUGUAGUUGAUAACAGCAGACUACAGUUUAUGUGGCAGAAGAGAGCAGUAUAGAUAUCAUGGAUGGGUGUUGAACUAGCUGGAUAACUAGGCUCAGCUUUGCUGGGCUUGAAAUAUAUAUUUGAUAUGAUUCUUGCUCAAAAGAAAGAAAGAAAGAAAUUCUGGUUCUUGCUCAAGGAAAGAAAUACCCAGGGCUGUCGAUUAGUGAGGCCUAGACCAAGGCAGACCAAAACCUAAAUACUUUCAAAGCAGAGACCUAAUUCUAUAUAAAUUGAGGCUCGUAUCGUCUCUCCCAUUUAAAAUUAUUAGCUCGGACGGUGCUUUUCUACCAGUGGAAGGGAAGAUGUUUUGAAAGUCGGACGCAUCCAACCAAGGCACGACGAGGAAAGCAACGAAAGAAUCCUGCCGUCCCUGGAAGGAUUGUCGUCCGUCCAUCCGUGGCGUCGAGCUACGUGUCGCUUCUGAUCGAACGCCACGUUAUACCACAGGGGACGAGAUUGGCACUAGCGCAUAGAUUUCUCUAUGCGCACAGUUCGUAUAGAUUCACGGAAAUANNNNNNNNNNUUACUAUCUCUCUCUCUCUCUCUCUCUCUCUCUCUCUCUCUCUCUGAGUGCUCGUUGACCCAAAGGUACGAUCUUGUUCUUGCUUUCUGAUCUUUGAUGCGUUCCUUUAUGAGGUUGGUAGAAAUCUCUCUUCUUCUGUGAUGUCCUCAUGAUUUUCGGAAAAAAAGGAUCUUUAGUGCAUUAUAAAUAUAACUCAUUGAAAAAUGGAUACAUAUCAAAUUUGAUGAAAAGAACGGAUAUAUAGCAUUGCAUGCUUAUAAAGAAGAAAAGAGGAGUAAUCACAAGUAGAGGUUCAUGCUGUCAGCUUAUUGUCUUCAUGAAUCAUUUAGUGAUUAGCUGGUAGGAAGUGGUAAUAGCUCUAUGGUUCAAAUUUGAUAGAAAAGAAAGUUAAGAACACAAGAUAUUUUGGGGGCAUAAAGAAUCAUGAGCUGUGAGAGAAAAAGACUAUCAAUAGAGACUGGAAGCACCCAAACACUGCAAAGGGAACAACUGUUUUGGUCAUUACAUAUGGCAGUUAUAUAUAUAGCACAUGGCUGGGUGGAUAUUCUCCAUAAUAAUCCAACAUAGUCUUGCUCAUGACCUUGAGUUUCGCAAGGGGGAGCCGGAAUUUACAGAGGGUUGGAUUCCUUUUUGCGAUAUCUGGCGCUCAUCUACCACAUAUUGCAUUCAGUGGUAUGUGGCAAGCUAAAUCAUUUCCCAUCUAAAAAGGAGAAAAAUACUACUGUAGAGGUCAAGUUGUUGACCUAUUUACAUAAAAGAUUGUUUACUAGUUAGCUGUGAGAGGAAGAUAUUUUAAACUGGUGAUGAUGAAUAUGUAUUUAGAGGUGCAUUCUUGUAUUGAACAGAUAUUUGAUCCACUGUCUCAAAGUUGUCGGUUGUGCUUUUCAUGAAUUGAGGACCAUUAACCAUGGGAAAUACAGCAACUAACUUGAUUUGUAAGCAUAUGGAUCAUAGGAAUGCAUAGAAUUCAAUGAUGCAAAAUUUUCAUGCAAGACUAUCUCUAUUUAUGAGCACCUUAGUGUUACGUCAAUCACUGAUAUGUGCUGUGCUUUCCUCACUGUCAUUUAAGGUAAGACUUGUACCAAUUUAUUUUGCUACUUGUUACAAUACCUAUUACGACUAAACUGCUGCACUUUGAGGUGGUUUUAUUUGUUGGCAUCGCCAUUAUGCUAAAGACUAAGAUGCCUAUUUGAUAGGAUUUAGGGAUGAUCUUGUUAAGCCUGAUGUACACUGUUGACCUUUUCCCUAUCAGCUUGAGGUUUUUGGGUCGAUUGGUUAGUUAACAUGGUAUUAGAGCAGAUGUUUGCUAGAGGUCAUGAGUUCAAAUCCCCUCCAGUUCAAUUAUUUACUUAAUUAUCCCUGCUUAUCUAUUAUUCUGAUUCUUAAUUAUGCCAGGUUGUCUAUUUUUCUGAUUCUGAUUUGUCUUGUUAUGCAUGAUAUACAUUGUUGAACCUUUCCCUAUCAGCUUUUAAGUUCUUGGGGUCAAUUGCGUAGUUUAUAGUUCUAAUGUGUCUUAGGUCUCUGAAAGUUCAUUCUUGGAUCAGGAACCCUUGCAGCUCAAACAAACUAGUCUGUGACCACUAUGAAAUAAACCAGAUCUGUUUUAGUGAUGGUUAGAUAUGUUGAUUUCCAGACAAGCCUUUGAUUCUGAUGAAUACAAAUUCUAAUUAACCAAGGAUUGAAAUAAAUUCAAAACAUAGAUACACAUCAAUUUUAGACUUCCCUUGCGUAAAUUUUGUUUGAGAAAGCUCCUUGCGUGAAUUUUCCAUUAUUGACAAGGAACAAGGAGCACUAAUUAUUUUUUAAGUGAGAUGCGGUCUUAGAAUGAAACAAAUUGAUCUUGUAGUUAAUGUUGCAUUACUCUUAUCUUUAAUAAGUGACUAUGUAUAAACUGAGUCUUUGCUAUCUUUAAACUAUCUUACAUUUGCAACAAUAUAUUCAUGGAUGUUCCUUUGUCACAUCUAUGGUGGCUACUUUUAGCAGGAAACCAUGGAGAUCGACCCGGUUAAUGUGAGUGAGUUUCAAGAACUUGCCAAACAAGCUCUUCCAAAGAUGUACUAUGAUUAUAUCAGUGGAGGAGCUGAAGACCAGUUUACCUUGAAGGAGAAUAUUGAAGCAUUUCAAAGAAUUAUGUAGUGCCCGCUGCUUUUUUGAUACUUCAAAUUAUUGUUUUGUUUAGAGGCUAAAAAAGUAUGGUAUUUUAAUUAGCUUAGAUCCUCAGGUUACGGCCCAGGGUUCUUGUAGAUGUGAGCAAAAUAGAUAUGUCAACAACCUUACUAGGGUACGACAUGUCUUCACCUAUCAUGGUUGCCCCGACUGGAGCGCAGAAGUUAGCACAUCCUGAAGGUCUUGAUUCCAUCCUAAAGUUUUCUACGAGUCUAGUGUGUGACUCUGAUCUCUGAUUGCUGGCUUCUUGUUCUUUUCAGGAGAAUUGGCAACAGCAAAAGCUGCAGCAGCAUGUAACACAAUAAUGGUAACAUGUAGUUUUAACAUACAAUCUUUGAUUCCAUAAAUCUGCUUGAAGCAUUGAACGAUCUUUCUAUUUCCAGGUGUUGUCAUUUUCGUCUAGUUACACUAUUGAGGAGGUUGCUUCCACUUGCAAUGCUAUUCGUUUCUUUCAAUUAUAUGUAUGCUCUACUUUCACAAUUCCUAGUGUUUCUGUUCAUCUCAUUUAACCCUUUUUUUUAAUAAAAUUGCUCAUGUUGCCUUUUCCCCUCUUUUUCCUUGCAAAUGUGAUAGAUAUUCAAAAGGCGAGAUAUUUCAGCAAAACUAGUACAGCGAGCUGAGAGUAAUGGAUUUAGAGCUAUUGUUCUAACAGUUGACACUCCAAGGCUUGGUCGAAGGGAGGCAGAUAUAAAAAACAAGUGAGAGUUUUCUUCAUUUACCUCUUGAAAAGCUUUAGGCCCAUUGGGGUAAACAUAUAUUAUUUGAAGUUUGAACUUAUGGAGAUCAAAUGCAGCUCCUAAGAAUUCUAAAGACUGUGGAGCCACUUCUUCCACUCAGGCCUAUGGAUGCCAUUCAAUUUUACCUUUAAACCUGAAAUUGUAAAUUGUUUUGCAACUGAUGUUUGGCAAAUAAUGCAAUCAUGUAAAACUUACAGUUUGGGAUGGAACUUCUGCUCCUUAAACAAUAUUCAUGAGAAGUUCUAUGUUCAUCUAAUCACAAUCAGGGUGCAUUAUCUAUAUUGACCAAGUUGGUUCCUUCUGCAGGAUGAUUGCACCAAAAAUUUCAAAUCUUGAAGGCCUGUUAUCACUGGAUGUUGAUGCUGUGAGUAAAAUGCAUUUCUUUAGUACUUCAUGAAAAUAUGUAUACUGCUAGCUAAGUAACGUUAAAAAGCUAUGCUACUUGAAUAAAUAUAAAUAUUCCUACACCAUUCGAUAAUCGGAUCAUGUUUUCACUACUUUUGUUUGCAGGAAGGUGGUUCUAAUCUUGAGGCCUUUGCAUCUGAAACUUUGGAUCCUUCUUUGAGUUGGAAGGUACCAACCAAACAUCUUUGUUAGUUCUGUAUUUCUUCAAAAACCAUUUACAUUGGUUUCUUGAAGCAUGAGAUUGUUUCUAAGGUAUCAUCUCUACGACAAUCAUAACUCCUCUUGUUAGUUGAAGGACACUGAAACUGUGAACAAAUUUUAAUCAAUUGAAUUCUUCGGGCACGUAAUCUUUUUUGACAUUUUCUUUGAGUAGUUUUCUUCUAGCCAAUGGCUUAAACCUUUUUUUGUCUUUGGGCACAUUCACAUGCAUGCACAUCACAUCUAUGACUCAUGAGCUCUUCUAACUAUAAAUUCAAUCAGGGCACGCUAUGGUACCAUUAAAUAUUGUCCAAUUUGUGUCCACUUGAUGUGUAAGGGACCUCCAAGAUACAUGACUUCGGUUUCUGGAUAAUCUAGACUUUUUUGGAUCAUGAUCAGCAUUGUGGAUUUUCAUUUUUAAAAUGGCUAUCAUUGAUUUUGGAUGGAAAGUACUUGAAUCCAAAUACUCUCAAAAACAUUCUAGCUUUACUCUCUCUCUCUCUCUUUCUCUCUCCAUACUAACAAAUACUCACUCUUCCUAAAGGGCUUAAAGAUUUGCACUCCUUGCCAAUCAUUUUGGUAAGAAGCCCUCAAUCAACCUUACAAGUGAUUAGCAUAGAGUUUGUUAAAACCAAUAUUGAAAAGGCAUCAAAAUAGUCUCUUGUGAAGUUUUAUAAAAUUUGGGAAUCCAUUUUUUUUAAUUUGAAGGAAGAAUUUGAUACAAUUAAAGCAAUAUAAAAAAUUAUGAGGUGUGCUGGUCUAUAAAAAUGUCAGCAUCUUAGAAGAUACUCCAUGCAUGGGCAAAAGUGUAAAAUCAGGCUUAAGAAGAUGGAGAUGGUAGAAGAGAUUAAGGAUAUUGAUGAACUAUUUAAUGAAAAUAAUGUUUUAGAGAUCGAAAUACUUGAAGGUGGUUUGAGAAUAUCUUUUGUUAUUGUUCUCAGACUCCUGCUUUUAUGUUCAUAAAUCAUAGUUUUACCUAAUCCUGGUAUUUGCAGGACAUAGGAUGGAUAAAAUCUAUUACAAACUUGCCCAUUUUGGUAAAGGGCAUUCUGACUGCAGAAGAUGGUAAAAUUUAUCUUCUUCCAAUCCUCUUUAACUAAAAGUACAAUAGCUGGUAAUCGAGUGAAUGUGUUUUCGGUCUUAUAUUACGAAUGUCGAAUGCUAGCAGCUACAAAGGCAGUAGAAGCAGGAGUAUCUGGUAUAGUUGUAUCUAAUCAUGGUGCUCGCCAGCUUGAUUAUGCACCAGCAACAAUAUCUGUUCUUGAAGAGGUAUGGCUUCACUCCUUAGAAACUCCUUUUCUGAUUAUAUACAUAUAUGUACAUACAUACAUACAUGCCUGCGUACGUAUGUAUAUAUGAGUUGGACUACAAAAUUUAUAUUAACUCAUUGUAAAUGGAGUUAAUAAUUUUAAAAUCAUCGAUAGGCCUUCCAAAUUGAAGAUCCAAAUCAUUGAGCAUGAUUUAUACUGAAAAAAUACUUAGGAAUCAAAAUUCAUGUAUUUUAGUGGGCUCUAACACAUGCAUCAACUCAGUAUAAACAUGAGCGGUUUCGAUUGUACUAGUAUAGUAAAUACAUGAUACAGCAUAAAAAUUGGAAAUUCACUUUAUUUAUCAUGAUCCGCACAUCUUAAAACAUGAAUUGAUUUAAAUUUACUGGAUUUUAAUGAUUAGAUCAUCAUAAAACAUAGUAUCAUGCUGUAUAUAGAAACUGCUGGUGCUAAUGUUACUUCAGUUUACUUAAAACUUCAAAGACAGAAGCAACUUGGAUGCAUUACUAUAUACUUUACUAUAAAAUUUUGAACUGAUUCCCAUUUCUUUUUUUCUUUCUGGGGUGGGGGUUCUAAUUUUUUUGAAGGCAAAAUCAAGCAAAUUGAUCUCCUUUCUCAGUCUUCAAGUGUACUUGUCCAGAUUUUAUAAUUUUGUUAUCCAUGUUGUGGCCCCAGGUGGUUAAAGCUGUUUCUGGAGCAGUUCCUGUUCUAUUUGAUGGAGGAGUCCGACGUGGAACCGACGUGUUCAAGGCCUUGGCUCUUGGUGCUAAAGCUGUAAUGGUAUGCUUUCUUAAGUCAUGAGCAUAACCACAAGCUGGUCAAAGAAUGCAUAUAUUUAACCAAGUUCUCUAGUGAAUCCUAUACAGCAAAGACAGAUGAGUUAUAGGAAUUAAUCCUUCCGUUCCUGAUUUCACUAUUAAAGAACUAUCUUUUAAUUUAACCUUUAAGUUCUUGCUGGAGUUUAGAAGUCUGUCAUCUUAUACUGGUGAACCUCGAUACCUCCCAACUUUAUGUUAAGUUGUUAACCCAUUUCUCCUGCUUUGUCAUUGCCACCAUUAAUUCCAAAUCAUCUUGACCAUCUUAGUUUUAUUUUCUUCAAGCAUUACAUCAAAAUUUUCAACUAUAUGUACUGAAAAAGAAAAUCUUGCGGCACCUUUGAUUCAUCGUAUCACUUUGUUCCCAUUUGUUACAGAUUGGACGACCUGUCGUCUAUGGCCUGGCAGCAAAGGGGGAAUAUGGAGUAAGAAGGGUCAUUGAAAUGCUUCAAAACGAGUUGGAGCUGACCAUGGCCUUGGCAGGCUGCCCCAGUAUAAAGGACAUUACCAGGAAUCACAUCUGGACCAAGCAUAACAGGCUGAGAUCCCUCAUGUGAAUGAUUAUGCGAUAUACCCUGCAGCAAAAAACAUAUUAUUUUGUUCGAAAUAAGGAGAACAAAAGUUCUGUUUGAUGAUCCAUCGAGAACAUCAAUUAUUUUCUUUUUGCUGUUGGUUGCAUCCUAAAAUACCUGAAUACAGGCAGGGGUGAUGCACAGACGAUGUAAGUAAUGUAUUACCCAAGUGUGAUCGGUAGACAUGAUGAUUCCAUUAUCCUCAUCCCUCAAAGGCCACCAGGCCUCUGAUUUGUAUCUUCAUAUUUAACCUACAUAUAAUGUUCAGCACAGGAUGACAUAAGGUUGUUUCAGAAUAGAAGUCCAUAUUUUCGUUUUUGACUCUAUGAUGUCCCAUAUUUUUUCCUCAUUUUAUUAUGAAUUGUAAUGGGGACAUGAUUUAUAGUGGUCUCAUUCUUAUAGUGUCCUAGCAAUCUAUAUCCUGAGUCUACGGUGGAUUUAUGAAGAUGAAUUCCAAAUAACAAUCUCGUCUGGAUCGCUCCAUUUUCUGAAGAUAGGGUUAUAGUGACAGAUGUUUCAGGUAGGAACUCAUGAAUUUUCCAGGUAAAAUUGAUUAUACUCCCAGAAAGGUAAUCUGGUUUGUAACAGAUUUUCUGAUUUUUUUUCACAAGUACCUGAGCAUUAAUUUAGUGGUUAUAUCUGUCUGCUUAUAAAUGGAUGGUACAGGAUUAGAGUCUGAAGAAGUUCUUGCUCACGAUCUUACCCAACUCCCAACUGGUAAUUAUAUAAGGGGUGGGGCUCCCUCCUAUUCUGGGAGGAAAAAAGAAAAAGCUCUGACAAAAUGAUGCAUGGAAAGAAAAAGGUUUACGGCCUCAGCUAUGAAGGGCAUUUUUUUGAUACCAGGUUUCGUCCCUGUACCAGUACUCUUCAUGGUCGCUGGCUAAAAAGAAUCAGCAGGAAGCUGCUAAAACCUCCUGGCAUCCACAGCUAAAAAAUCUUCAUGAUCAUUUUGCCCUUGUUAACAGUAAAAGCAUGGCAAAAAUUUAAAUCAAGUUCUGUAUCACCAGAUGCAUCAUGUACAAGGCCCUCCACCACAUCUAUGCAUUUAUAUUACAUCUGAUUCGCACAUGUAGCUAAGGCAGGGAGACUAAGGAAAACAAAAAAAAAAAAACAAAGAGAGAAGAACAAGAAUAUAAUAUUUAUAUGAUUCAGUCUAUUGAUCUGUGUCCACAGGCAGAGACAUGCAAAAACUUUAUUAUAAAAAAAAAUAGAAAUUAGGGAGUACAAAAUUUUCUCACAAAUCUUACCCUGGUACACCCAAUUUUUAGAACGCUUAAUUGCUCUUACAAGAGAUAUAUAUAAUUUAGUAAGUCGACUUAGACACAAGCCAGUAUUCCUACAAUAAUCAGGUUAGUUCAAUAAAUCAACAAGCUCAAAGCUGAUUUAAGAGCACUUUCAAAGCAAUCCUAUCACAUAGAUGCUCCAUGAUACCUAUCCCAGCAGUGUCAGCCCUGGUGCUGUCAAAGCCAGUAAUUCUUCAGAUGAGCAGUUACUAUGAACAAAUCCAGAGCUACUAUCACAAGAAAUGUAUAUUAAACAUAUCAUUUAAUUGACUGUAUGAAUGUGAAAAGGAUUUUUAUUCAGAAAUAUAAUCCCUAGCAUCAUAAAGCAUUCAUUCAAUUUACAUAACAUGGACUUUGACCAGCAGAAACAAAUAAUAAUAUGCAAAUCUACAUCAUGCAAAACGGGCAUUAUGGCUGCAAAACCUAAAUAAGUAAUUUCACAGCAACUUUUUGGCGACUGUUAAUGUCAAUCACCCGGCUUGAAGACCUAAUUCAUCUGUCUUGGGUUGGUGAUGCAGGAUAGAACUGAUUUAGAGGCCAAUAUCCCUACUUAAACAUUGACAGACCCACCCUUAUUUGCGCCUUGCAGCUGCUCCAUGGGUGAGCUUGUGAUGCUACCAACUGACCCAUGUGUCUGUGAGCUCAACUGAGGGCUAGCUGGCCCAGCUGCUGCAUUGCCACAGUUGUUAUUCUUCUGCAAUGCACCUGAGCUCAACCGCUGAGGACUCAUUGCAGACUGCUGGCCCAUUUGAUGAGGACUAAUCUGCUGCUGUUGCAUUAUCAUUGCCGGUGGCGAACCAACCACCUGUGGGGAUCCCACCCGUGCCUGCUGCAGCGGAGAGCUUAUUUGUUGUUGUUGUUGUUGCUGCUGCUGCUGCUGCAGCUGUUGCUGUUGUAGCUGUUGUAACUGCUGUUGAUGCUGUUGUAGUUGCUGAGGAUUCAGGUAAAAAUUUGUUCCAGGGAUCUUAGGUGGGCCCAUGGGUGACAUUGCAUUCCGAUGCAAAGGGCUCAUGUUGGCUCUGUUCAGUGCAUGCCCCAACAUCGACAGGCCCGCCGAGCUUGACAGCAUCUGACUAUUAUUUCCGGACAUACCAGCAAUCCCAGAUUGAGGACCAUACAAACCAGCCCUGUUUUGCUGUGCCAUCCUCAGUUUAGCUGCAAUUGCUGCAGCUUGUGCAUGCGAUAUUGAACCCGGACGAAGUCCUGCACUGAAAUUGGAUGCAGAUCCCAGGUUCAUCUGGUUCGGGCUAAUGUUGCCUAAUCCUGACAUGGGCCCCAUAGGAGAGGAUAUGCCCCGAACUCCCCCCAUGCCCAUGACAUUGCUCAGACCGCCAAGGCCCACCACAUUAUUGCCCAUGUUUCCCAUGUUCAUGGCUGGUCCUAGACCCAUCAUCACCUUCCUAGGAAGUUGGGUUUGCUGUUGUUGCUGUUGCUGUGCUUGUUGCAGCAUCUGAAGCUGCAAAGCAGCCGGCUUGCCGGUGACCAUGGAAUUAUUACCAAUCUGCAAGUUUGAGUUCUGCCCUAUUAAAUGAGAGAGUGGAUUGGUUGAGAGCAGCGGUGAUGAUCUCUGCAUAUGAGGCAAUGGAAGUUGUUGUUGCUGUUGCAUCUGUGAUUGCAUACUUUGCUGCAGCUGUUGUUGUUGCUGCUGCUGAAGCAAAGUUUGGUCAAGCUGCUGUGUCCUAGCAGGCAUAGCAGCCCCCGGCAAGUAACCUUGCAAUGACUGGCUAUUAUUUCCAGAAGCCAGCAUCCGUGCACUGUUGGGAAGAUUUUGUGCAGAGUUCAGAGGUCCCACAGCAUUCGUGGCUGCUAUAUGAGAUGGUUGACCAAGAGCUACUUCUGGGUGUUUCACUUCAGCUACAGCAUUAUCUGAUGUCAUUCCUGGAACUGUGGUCAUACUACUGGAAGAAGCAACCAUGCGCACGGGUAUAGGUUUGAUACGAUCUUCAGUUGUCCGAUAUCCAUCACGCUCCAUCUUCAAACCAUAGAACAAGUAGAGUUCAAAAUCAGGAUAAUGGAAUAUGAUUCUACCUUUUUUUUCUUUUGAGAUUCAAGUGUUACUGAGAACAUUUACCUGUGCACAAAACUGAGCUGCAAGCAGAUCGGCAUAGUGCUGACAAAAACACAUUCAAGAGGUUAAUGAAGAGAUUCAACUCACUAUGAAGAGAUAAUGGACUAAGCAAUAAGGAACUCACUGUUGUGGGUAAUGUGACAAAUUCCUGAGUACUAGGAAAAUCAGACUCAUCUAUAUCUCCAUACUGAAUCGCUACUGUGCCAUCAUAAGGCUUCUCAGUCAGGGUCAUUCGGUAGUGAGCUCUAGGAGGAACAACUGUAAAAAAAGUGCAUUUGAAGUCAGCAGAGUCAAGUCGCCAAUUUUCAGCUCAAACAAGAUACAUUUUAGCCGUGUUUCAUCAAGCAUGACAAACCUUGAUACGCGCAUUCUGUCCGCAUGAAAUGCAUCGUUCUGGUCUUACACGUAUUAAUUGUUCCACCAAAAAGAGACCUAGACAUUGGUCUAAUGGGGUCAGUGAAAUCCUCAGCAUUAAAUGAAUCAGAGAGACAGAAUGCAAGCCGUUGAUUUGCAUGUGCUACAGGUUUCCUUGCAGGGUAAUCAUCAACCUUGCUCUUCUUAAGAUUGAGGUGGUAUCUGUCAAUUGUCAACACAACGUCACAGCAGGAUGAUAUUUAAAAAAAAAAAGCAAUAUACAUAACUAUGAGGGGAAAAAAUGAUUAAGUUGUUGAUAACAUAUAACUACUAUUUUCAAAUAUCUCAUUCAAGUAAAAUCCUAUCUAGUAUUAAAAUUUCAAAUUUUACUGAAUCUUUAAAUAAUGCAACGGAUAAGAUGAUCAAAUGAAACAAGAACUGUACAUCCAAAGAAGACACCAAGUGCAGGUAAGUAGGAGUGAAAAAUUAAAGCACUUGGAGGCAUUCGAUAGGCUCCCUAGGUGUUGAUUUGCAUGGAUCAAACUUUUUUUUUUUGUAGGAUUCUAUUAUACAUUACAUCAUGUGUUUUCUCAAUUAGCUCCGUAUACUCACACUAUAUCAACCUUUGCCCUCAUGCUGUUACAAUAUGAAGUUUAAUUUAUGAUUACCAAGAAACAAUAGCAAGAUACACAAAUCAUAGAAACUUCCACCCAAACCAGACAGCCCACGUAGAAAAAUAGAUAAAUAUAUAUAAUCAUAACAGCAUAUGAUAUAAAAAUGAAAAGGGAAAAUAAAGAAUCACAGGAUUAUCUUUUCUGAGUGACAUUUCUGAAUAUAAACAUACCUCUGGCUUAUUAUUUCAAUCUUCGCAAGUCUCUCGAGGAUUGCUUGAUCACCCAUAGGUGCAGUCCCAAUAGAUGGGCUAUUAGCAAUCAGUGGAGCAUUCAUAUUACUAACACUGGCAGGAGAUCCAACCCCACUCAUGGUUUGUGUUUUGGGGACAGAAUUUGUUUUACGUUUCCCAGCCACCGAUGCUUGGUGUUGCCGAUGCACAGAAUCGCUGGGACUGGAAUUCACAGAAGGGCCCCCAAGUGCAGCACUAGAAUUUGCUGCCACUUUAUCCUUCUGUGAACCUACUGCAGAAGUUGUUGCAACAGCACUAAACUGGCCGCCUACCGAACCACUGGAAAUCUCUCCUGAUUUUGAUGACACAGGAGACUGAACUAUCGGUCCAGAAGAGACUCGUGGACUCGCCACUGAUUUCCUCUUCUGAAGCACAUCAUCCUUCCUCAUAUCCUUCUCAGCUAAUUGCUGGGUAUUAUGCCACUGUGUAAGGACUAGGUGCUGGUUUCUCAUGGAUUGUUGCUGCAAUAGAUGCUGAGAUUGUGACUGAUGCUGGUACACUGUACUGUUUUCUGAUACCAGUGACCGAGGAGCAUCUUUAGACCCCUCCAGCUCUUGUCUAUCCAUCUUUUCUGUGUCAAUCUGCUCUUCUUUAGCACCAUAUCUCAUACCCUGCUGGUUAAAAUAAAAGGACGCCCCUGCCUCUUGAUUAGGAAUAUUAUUUAUCACUGGAGAAGGAUAUCUUUGACCACCCAGAGCAGAAGAAUACUGCAUUCCCUUAACCGCAUCUAUUUGAGAAUCUAACAUCUGGUUUUUUUUCCGCUGCAUAUCAGGCCCACUGAGGCCAACUAACUGAGGCCCUGGUUGCUGCUGCUGAAUACCGUCUAGUCCCAUUGGAGUCUGUUUUGGUCUCUUCAUGCCUAAUAACGAUGUUGAUUGGGUAUCUUGGUUCUCCCUCUUCACAGAAAGGGGUGCAUUACUAUUGAUUUUGUCAGUAUAAGAACCCACCAAGUUCUGAGAUGACAUGGUGGUGUUGACUCCUGCCAAACUCACAGGAGGUCCAGAGACAUGAUCAUGCACAACAGUGGGAUAGUUUAUAGCUGGCUGAUGCAUGGGCUGGGAGGGCAAAGGUAAAGUUGGUCUGCCAGUUUCUUGUGCAAAAUUGUUAGAUCUUAAGGAUGAAACCCCACUUGAUACAUUUUGGGUGGCCAUAUUCUCAUGAACUUGCUGCAUUGUUGCAUUGCCUAACAGAGUUCCUUGGUCAUCCAAUCUACAAUUAGCAUUCUGAGGCAGCCUAUCAAUGCAGACCUUCUUUCCAUGAGUUUGAUAAUUGGAUGUGACUGUCACUUCAGGAGUUUUCCGUAAUCUCUUCUUUCUUCCAAUACCAAGAUCAAGCUGCAGAUACAAUAUGUGAUAUCAAUAGCAAACAAAUUGCAUAAGGUAGUCUUCCCUUGUUCAUAAUCUUAGCAAAUGUUCAAUACCUUAUUAGAAGAAGGGUCAUUAUAAAGCCUAUCUAACAUUGGCGUAGGGUCCAGACAAAGUUGUGGUUGCAGUGCUUUCACUAUGCGUGACUCAACUUCCUGUACCAUAAAAUCAUAACAUACAUCAGUUCAAAUCUCAGUAAAAAAAUAAAAAAAAGAGGACAUAUUUAGAGGAUUGGCAAUAACCAUUAGAUCACUGUAGGUCCAAGAAUCAUCAGAUAUUAAUGGAAUGUCUUUAACAACAGUUUCAAGAGACAUUCGCAACCGCACUUUAUGUACAAUAGGAACCCCAUCCACAGCAGAAACAGAAGUUCCUAGUUCAGAUAUGCAUUUUCUAUAAUCACGCACCUACACAGAGUAAUCAACACUUAACAAAAGCAUAGAGUUUCCAAAAUAGACUUUUCAAUAAAUAGCAGACAAGGAAAAACAUGAAGAAACAAUUUCAGUGUGUGAGGGCAAAAAAUAGAGAAUGUAUCAACAAACAAGGCAAUCAUUACAUCAGAUUACCUAUAUAUAACAAAGAGUGUACAAAUUAAACCAAAACAUGUUGCCUAGGUUUUAUUUUCAAAGGGAUCUAACCCCCAUCCACUGCCAGCUGCUGAAAUUCUGGAGCAAUAUAAGGUUAGCAAAUAACAAUGCCAGUAAAAAUAAAGCAUUCCCUGUCCACGUGAAUGGCUUGUUUACAGAGUUAUUUGAAAAUUCCUAUCCUUACCAAGGAUGGAGGUACCCAGUGUACUGCCUCCAUAUUAGUGGAGAACCCCUAAAGGGGGCCUCAAUACACCCCAGUUUUGGUGAAUCAGAGAACCUUGCAUAUCAUGCCAGAUCAGGGUAGAUCCAGCCUAAACCGAGCACUCGAUACCAUUGGGUACAGAGCACCUCAAGACCCCUUUCUUUUUGUUUUCCCACCAUUUCAAGGUGCGAGCAAGAGUGAGAGAUAGUGAGGAGCUUUCAUGCAUCAAGACUUCAGACCUUGAAGCUUAGAUUGCCAGGAAAGCUUGCAAUGCACAAAUAUAGUUGUUCAAUGUAUGUUUUUAUGAUAAGUUAUAUGAAACUAUGUAUCACAUGAUAACACACAUAAUAAAUAGCAACGGAGAGCUUCAGCAUUCAUAGGACAGGAUUGUUCAAGCAUUUAAAUCACUUACUUACCAUAUUUUCAUACAAGACAAGCAUUAAAACCAGUAUGAGAGAGAGAGAGAGAGAGGGAAAGAGAAUCAGAGGCCAAAGAUAUAUAUUUACAUAAUUUUGCAAAAUAUUAUUUUUCUUAUAUCCUUAAAUUAAUCGGGAAGUUUCCUUUUAAUGUUUAAACAAACAGUAUUUGAAGGUAUAAAUAUACUAUAAUUUGGUUAAUAUUAUAAUUUAUCCUACGUAUCCCCAUAUCUCCUUUUUUAUACCUUACCAAGUCAGAAACUUGGAUGUGCAUAUGAAUUUGAUUCUCAGAUCCUUGUUCAUGCAAUGCUGGUUUUGAAACAUUGAACAAACUUAUCUGCCCCAUAUUUCUUAUGGGUAUUUUCAAGACAGAUUAUGUUCCUUCAUACUUAAGAAUUUACACUUUCAAUACUCCCUUUAAGACUAUUAAUCAUCUAGCCCUCCCCAACUAUUUAGGGUUAGUAAUUUUAUAUAUUUAUAUUUCUAUUAAUUAAUAUAAGAUGAAUGAAAUCAAAGUUCAUUAAUUGAUUACGGUAAAAGACCAGCCUAGGGGUAAACAAGAACAAGCCACAAGUAUCUGGUUGAGGUUGACCUUUUGGAUUCUACUUUUUCAUUGGUAGAAUAUAUUUUUGAAAUGUCUUGCUAUUUUUCACAUAAAAAUUUUUGGAGCACUCAUGCAUAAAUGUUAGUCACAUGGUAGUAGGCACCAGAAGUCAAUUGCACUUGUAAAGUGAGUUGAGAUGCCUUCACUUAAAUAUAAUUUUGUAAGUAAUAUACUUACAUUUUUCAAUUAUUACUUGGCCAGAAAACAUAACUUAGUAAAGUUUUGCUGCAUAUUUGCUAUGUUAAGAAGCUCAAUGCUUAGAAGUUAUUGCACAUAUAGGCUCUUGUUGCAGCAAGUGUUGUUGCAGCAGUGCAAGACUAUUAAUCAAUUCCAUAAGAAAAGUAAAGAACAACAUGGAAAGGAGAAACAUACUCUUCAUAAUUUUAAUGCAUCAAUGUUUUACCGAAUUUUUUCCUUGUACACCUUGGAAAUAAGCAAUAUCUGGUUGAUGCAGAACCUAGAGAACUAUUUGCAAGUUGCGACCCCUUUGGCUCACUUUCAUCUACAAAUCUCUGCCUUGCUAAAUAUGUAGUUUGGGAUUUUGUACUUUCCUACAUGCUGUCAGCUAGCUGCCGAGGAGCACCAACUUCUUCGAGUUGAAAAUCCCAGUUUUUCCCACCAACAUUUUUUCAGUUGAAAAUCACAGUUGUUUCCAUUAUGGAAAUCAAGCCAACCCUUCUCUACAGGUUUUCCCCCUUCUUCAAUGCUCUGAAAUCUCACUUUGCCACUUUUAGGCUUUUUAUUGAUUUCUUGGUUCUUAUAGCUUAUUUUGCACAAAAAUUUUCCCUUUUGUUCUAAUUCUCUUGUCAUUUUUUUUUUCUUUGAUGUUUCUUCAGAAUCUUAUCAAUCUUUUCAAGCUAUUUUUUUUUACUUUUGGCUUGUCAGAAGGCCACCUUCCCUCAUAUUGUAUUUUAAAAAAAAAGGUGGGGGCUGGGAAAGGACAAGCUCUAUGCUCCUCCAGAUUAUCUAUUUAUUCUUCUUAUGCUCUCCAAUCACCAAAGCACUUCACGAUACAACUAAAUUAUAUCUCCCACCUAUAGAUGUACAGCAACAUAUGACCCAAGUCCCAACUUAGCCUAUUAAAACCAAGGUAUAAAUAAUAUUUGAUUGUUUGGAUUAAGUACAAGUCACCGCCAACACCAACAAUCAGAAGGGGUUUGUACUCACCGAGGCCACAUGAUAUGGGUUUGCUACCUAGUGGCAGAUGAUCCCAAAAUCUUGUUAGUCAUAAUAAAACCAUAAGCUUCAUAUUGAACAUAAAAGAUUGCAUAUAUGGUGCUCGGUAGGCCUCGUAGAGGUCAUAGGAUUCUGACAGGAUAUAAUGUCAGCUGAUUGAUUAUUGUUCAAGGUGUUGGCAUUGGUCCACAAGUCUAGUCCAACACUUUGUGCACAUCAGACAACCAGCAAGGUCAGACAGCAUAGGCUUCAAGCCCAGUAAUACUCUAGUGUGCAACCUUAACUUGAACAACUAAACUUGACCUAGCAUAUUGCUACAUUUGAAACAUAGAUUAGUUCAGGUUGGAGCAUCAUUGACUUUUAGACAACAACCACAACUAUAUAUUGCACUAAAAUUGCAAGUUGAUAGGGAGAUCACAAUUUUCUUAACUGGAAAAGAAAAAAACUUAUUAAUACAUAUUAAAGAGAAACUACGAGCUACAGGUCAAUGCAAGGAGAGGAGUAGCUAACCUCACAGACAAGGGUCCCAUCAAUAUACUUGCUAGGUAUAUCAUCAAGAAUAUCUCCUGGCAACCACCCUGACUCGAUUGCCUGUAAAGACAUAAAUGCACAUGCAGAAAAAAAUGAUAAAAACAGCAAUUUUAAGGCAUAAUGGAAGAGGAUAAAAAAUGUCCUUUUUUUCAAGUGCAUAUGAGGCAAAAUCCUGGUAAAAACUUAAUAGAAGCUGGUGAUGUAGAAAUUCAAUUUCCUUUUAGGAAGCGCAGAAGCUUGGUUUUUCACAAAUAUGACAUGUCACAUCUGAACAUUCAAAAGUUUCUCCAUUCCAAGUCCGAUAUUAGCAAAACUAGGUAAAGUAUCAAUCCUUAUAAAUCUUCAGGCAUAUAUUACUCAAUGUAAUAAACCAACAGUAAAAUGAAAAGGAAGUUGAGAAUAUUUCAGGAUUCAAUACUUUUAUAAAAAUUUAACUCUUAGUGAUUAUAUUUGUGUCUAGUCGUAUAUGUGGGCUGUGUUACCUAGACACUCAAAUCCAGCUCCUAGAAUCCAUGUCAAAUACAAAUCCGAAUUGGAUGAAACGGACACUUUGAUACUUAUAAUUUUUUGGUUGCAGUUUUUAGGAAUUGGUAGAGUUCACUCAUAUAGCAAGAAGUUCAACGCACUAUAAUAAUGUAAAAGUGAGCUUUUGCUCUUUUUAGAGAUUGAUUAAGAUUGUAUGUACUAAAAUAACCUGGCAACGUGCCAUUUUUCUGAGCUAAUUAAGAAGUUUGCAUGAGAAACAUGCUAUUGAAAAAUCUUAACAAAUAAUAUUUUUAAUUUUACUUAAAAGAAUAUUUAAAUAUUUGUGUUUUAGUUAAAUAUUUUAUCUAUGUACCCACAAAUCUCCUUUUUUUCCUCUUGCCGUGUUAAACGGAUGGGCGCAUGUCCGGAUCUGAUUCUCGUGUCCGUAUCCAUGUAACAUUGUGUAUGAGCAUAAGAGCAUGCAUACCUAUGAAUAUGGAGUGUGUGUGUGUGUGUGUCUGCCAUUAAUGCAGAUAUUUUACGAAACCCUAGAGUUCCGAAAUUCCAUGAGAAACAGAAAUCUUUCCACACUAAAUUCUGGUCUAAGGCUCAGUAUGUUUAUCAUUAAGUUAAUAUACUGAAAUAUGGUAUGGUUUAUGUAGGUGCAAUUUGGACCCACUGCUUAACUAGAGUAACUCAGUUCUUAGGGUAUCUUUCACAAGAUCACAUAUUUGCUCAACAAGCAUUUUAAAGUAAUGAAUCAAUACGGCUUCCAGAAAAGUUCAAUGGAUAUCAUAAAUCGGGCUUUACGUCAAAAAAAAAUGAGGCAAGAUUAAUGUCAUUAUCAGGUUGAUUACAUCAUCAUCCAAACAAUGCCUUGACAAUGGCCUUCCAAUAAAUGCAAAAAUAAAGGAAACGUGUGCAGAGCAUGGUACUUACAGAAAAUAGGGUCUCUGAUGCCCUAUCAUAUGGAUGCAAUGAUUUAGCAUCUUGAAGAAGAGGUUGAAAAUUAUCCAUCUGACAAGUUUCAGUCUGCAUUAGAACAGCAUCCAUGCUAAGAAAUGCUUUAGCUAUCAUGGUCAAUCGCACUUUAAAUGAUCAGGAACACACUAUGAACUAGGAAAUGCUAAGAAUCUUCAAUUUCAGAGUUUUAUUUCAGACAGACCUCAGAAGGCUUCCCAAUAAUAUAUCCCUUCUGAUAAAGGUUCAAUGUGAAAGAAACUUCACGUUCUGCCAAAAUUUUUAAAAACAAGGAAAAAAACAUAGAGAAAUAUCUUAGUAAUAUAAUGUGUACCCAACAAAAAUGACCAAAACUACUUACACUACUUACCUGGCAAUACAAGCCCUUCUGAACAAGUGGAUGAAACUGAGGCACCAUUAGCAUCAUUGAUUGCCUCAGCAAUAUCAACCUAUACAAAGAUAGUUUACACUCUAAUUAGCAUUUAUAUUUCCUUCUUAGAAGCAGCAUGGACAUGAAUGCAGAUCUUUCUUAAAAAAUGCUACUUGCUCCUGUUAUGUGCACAUGAACAUUUCUCUUGCCAUGUGGCAAGAGAGGUUGGUGCAACUCAUGGGCUUUGUUGCCAUAUAUGGGGUUUCUGUCGAUUAUGGAAUUGCCAAAUCAGCAGUUGUGGGCCCGAUAGCCUUUUCAUGUGCGCCUAACGUGCUCCACGGAGCACUUUCUUCAUAAAGUCAUAAAAAGUGACUUGACUUACCAAGCUGGAACAAAAAAAUCAGCAACUAUUUUACUUAAAAAAUCAGGACUGAUUUAUCAAGUCGAGGGUGUGUUCCUAAAUGCUAAGCUUGGAUGGGAAAUUUAAAUGAGACGUAUCCUUAAAAAGGGAAAAUCCAUAGAUAUAUACAAGUGGUGACGUCCUGACGAAAACAUGAUAUUUUCCAACAAAUCAGGACAAUCAUUUCACUUGUUUCAAGUCUAAAAUAUCGAGAAAAAAUAAAAAUGGAAAUCCUAAUAUUUUAGCCUAAACUAUUCCAAAUGUGGCAGGUCCAAACCAGAUAAUAAUCUCAGCAAGAGUAAGACCAUGCAGUGAAAUGUGAACUCUCGUGUUAUUAAUCGAGAAUAAAAAAUAGAAAACAACACAUACAUAGCUGACAUCUGGAAUAACAUGGCAAGUGAAGGUAAUAGUAGGGGAAAUCACAUAAGUACAAUAAAAGCUGUGUUAUCUAAACACUUAAGUCCAGCUCCUAGAAUCUGUGCCAGAUACAUAUCCGAAUCAAAUACAAGCCAGACAUCUGGAUAUAAUAACCUUUGGGUUGCAGUUUCUUGAAAUUGGUAGAGUUCGACUCUUUGAACAAUAAGUUUGUGCAAUAUAAUAAUGUUAAAAGUGAGCUUUUGUUCUUUUUAAAGACUGAUUAAGAAUGUAAGCAUUAAAAUUUUGCGAAAUGUUUCUAAGAUCAUUAAGCUAAUUAGGAAAUUUGUAAGAGAAACAUGUAGAUUGAAAAACCUUAACAAAUAACAUUUUUUACUUUUAGAAUAUUUAAAUUAUAUGUAUUUUAGUUCAAUAAAUUUAUCUAUGUAUCCGCAAAUCUCUCUUUUUUCCUCUUGUCAUGUCAAACACCCGGACACAUGUCUAGAUCUAAUUCUCGUGUCUACAUCCAUGUAACAAUGAAUAAAAUUACACAUUAAAUAAUUAAAUUAUAGCAAUUCUUAGCUAAAAGGGUACAUAUGGUGAAAAUUUGAAAAGUUUUUUAAGCACUAAUAAAUGGAGCGGUGAGGAGAUGUGCUUGUGUGGUCAAGGGUGACCUCAUGAUCAUCUGAACAUGGAUAAGAAGGGGGGGGGAAGCAUUAACGUAAAUGAAAGUCACAAGCAUUCCACUGAUAAAAGCAAGCUCCCCAGCAGUGAGUGAUGCGAUGCUCAGAUCAUCUGUCUCGAAACCAUGCACAUCACACAUGGUAUACUCCAGUCCGUUCGUACAGUUUGAUGAUUCUUUGCCUGAACCUUUGACCUACGUUAAUAGAUUAAAGCCCAACUUGAUAGUUUGCAAAUGCAGGAGAGGAGAGUACACUAAAACAGGAUGGUUGCCUUGUGCCCUUUUCAAAACUAAAUAGCUUAUUACUAAGACCCAAAUAUGAAGUUAAUUGAAUUUUGCAUCAACUAAGAACACCUUGAAGGGCACCAGCUUUAAAAGUUUAUCUCUUUAUAAUUCAAUAGUCAACAAUCAGAAUUCUUUUCCAAGGAUACUUGGGUUUGCCCGUUGGCACCAUUCUCCUUAGGGAGAAGUUUCAGCUUCUAACCCCUUAGAUAGCAUUCCCGCCAUAUUUAAAAAAUGGCAUCUUAGUUUUUCAUUCCUAUCAUUAUAGUCAAGGGUUAGAUAUUUGUCGGACAACCGUGACAAAUUACACCGUCAUUUUUGAAUUCAUACUUUUUCUUUCUUUGCAUAAAAAAUGAAGUGAGAGGGCAGGAGGCAUAAGCAAUAUAGACAAAAUAUAUAAAAAAAGAAAAAGACAACAAGACCCUAGAUCCCACACUAUAUAGUUUGAAACAAAAACUACCUGAAAUCCUACGCAAAAUAUCCAGCAUAAAGUAGACAGAAUCCAAAAUAACAGAUAUGCACGGGAAAAGAAAACUACGAUGGCACUAAUAAAAGCCGGGAUGAAAUAUAGUCUAAGAACAAAGACUGCCCUAGAACCCUAAUCGCUCACCAAAUCCUCAAAAAAAAGCACGAAUUUCAGCCGCAUGCGCUCUCCCAAUAAUUUCCGAUCAAGAUAGUUUGAUAAACUAGAGGAAAACAAUGAUUAAAAAAAAAAAGGUUGAAUCUUUCAAACGAACUACCAGGAUAAGGCAUAACAAAGAUCACUCAGAAAACCCAAAAAAACAAUGUUUUUUUCUCCAGAAUCGUUCCAUAAAAGGUGAAUUCACCAUCAGAGCUCAAACACAGUCAGUCGGAAGACUCAAAAACAGAUAUAACUAGAUAGAAAUAAAGAAACUGGAGAGAAAAAGGAAACUUGAGCAACCUCGCGCUUUGAUCCAGCUCCGAUUAGAACGCGGGAGCUCUCGCUGGAGAGAACCGGCUCUUCUGGGACGGCGCUCGGCUUGGGACGGAACCUGGUCCCGACCUUCGAGAUCUUAAAGGAGACCCCCAUCCCCGACCUCCUCCACCAAUCAACGGCUCUCCCGAGCGGGAUCCCGACGGGAGGCAGUAGCUGGAAACCCUAGAGGAACCCUAGAACCGGCGAGCUCUCCUACUUUGGGGGAGAUUUACGGCGUCUUCUUCUCCUCCCCCGCCGUGGAGGACGAAAACCCCGCAGCGAGGGGCCAUUUUCUCCGCUUCCCCAUUCGUUUGUUUUCUUGGUCGCUAGCGGGAGGGCGAGUUGCCGGGCGCCGGGAUGGCGGUCGACAUACCACCGUCUAAUAAAUAACGCCCGUUGGAAGGCUUGGAGCGAUGGCGGCGGGACGGAGAUAACGGCUGUUAUUUGAUUUUUGAUUUUUCUUUUUCUCUGAUUUUCUAGGCUGCCUGCUUUUUGCAAAUAAAAUAAAAUAAAAGUAAAAUCUAAAAGAUAAUUGCUGAAAUAAUUCUAAAAUUUGGUAUUAGUGAUUUUGCAAGAUAAUAAUUGUUGUUUUUUUGCUGGUAUUAAGGCUGUUUGAUGUGUUCCAUUAUAAAUGACUAAUCAAAUAAUUAUUGUUUCAUUAUGAAGAAAUAAUGAAUAAUUAUUAUAUUUUGCAGGUAUUGUUAAUAAUAUAAUGAUGCAAUUAUGGUUUUCUAUUAAAAUGGUACAUUUAUUCUUUUAUACGAGGGGUAGCAUUGCAAGAAGCCCUUUUCUGUUGCAAUAAGAUCUAUGAAUUAUGUCAUAUUCAUUUUGUACCAAAAAUUUUAUAUCAUAUUUAUUAUUAUUAUUAUUAUUAUUAUUAUUAUUAUUAUUAUUAUUAUUAUUAUUAUUAUUAUAAAAUAGUUAUGCUUUUGGUUAUCCAUAAUUGGCAAGGCCUUACUUUGACAAUGACAUCCAUCAGCUUUUUAGUUAGCUAAUAAGGCUCUAAUUGACAAAUGUAUGUUAAUUUUUUGUCUCUCUUUUUUUUUACUAAUAGACGAUGGAUGAUGAGACUCCACUUGACCAAUAGUAUUUUUUAGUCCUUAUUCAGUAGAAAUGAUUUGAGAGCUCAACAAAUAUUUUCUCUUUCAACAAAUUAUAUGCAUUAAAUAUUCAUGAUAAAUUUUGAGCUUGUUUAUGGUACCUUAAAUUUAGAAGAAUAAAUGAAGAAUAACUUUAUUUCAUAUCUCAUGAUAUAUUCUAUUUUCAUAUAUUACACUAAUAUCCUAUUGAUGAAAAGUUUAAUGUAACAAUAAUAAUCGUCUUUUAUACAAUGUUGGAUAGGUUAAGCUUGAAAAGAAAGAUGGAAUUGAGAAUUGACAGCUAAAAAAAUGAAGGAAAAUAGGCCUAUUUUUUAAAUAAAAAAUAGUAUUUAAAAAUGAAGGAAAAUUUUGUGUCUUUGAAGGGAAUCUAUACAAGAAGGCCUAUUCCUCCCCUAUAUUCUACAUACCUUUGCUAUCCAAGAAAAAAAAUCUAUACAACAGAAAUAUCCCCUAUUAUCGCACUGAUGUGUUUCUUGCGUUCUUGCCACAAUGUGCUUUCUUAGGUAGCCAUGAAGCCUAAGCUUUAAAACAGCACAUGCAUGGAAUGACUAUAUUAAACAUGCAUGAUACUAUAAUGACCAUGCAUGAGACCAUAAUAAAAUUUAGAAAAGGAAUUUGUAAUAUCCAAGUCUUAUUCUUGUAGUUACAAAAUUCCUUGAUGUCAGCCCUACAGGAGAGCAACCACAGACGGGAGUAGGACUAGUUUUCCUCGAGGCAAGGCUGAACAAAUAGAUUAAGAUUUAAAAAAGAAAUAAAAAAAUGGCAAGGCCAAAAUAAAUAGGAUUUUAAAAAAAAGGGCACGAAAAAAAUGAAAGAUGGAGAUGCGGGGUAUCGAACCCCGUGCCUCUCGCAUGCAAAGCGGGCGCUCUACCGUUUGAGCUACAUCCCCGAGUGCUAAUUUUGUCAAGUAAAAUCAUUAACAAUUAUUUAUGACGAGCAGUAUAAUCCUUCCUUAUCUAUAUCCCUUCCUAGAAUAUUAUUGUAUUGCAAAAAUUGGCAAUUUCUUUUAUUUAUACUUGGACGCUCUUUUCUUUUUUCUUUUUUUUAUUAAGCCAUUCUUGUCAUCAUGCUAUAGUUUAUUCCUUGGAUUCUUUUCUUGCCGCCUGCUGAUUCGUUCGUUUGGUCUGAUUGUUAUAAUUUUUAUUUUUGAAGGUAUUUUUUUCCUUGUAAAUUCAUUGUCAAUUUUAGUAAAUUUGCUGUUCUCUUCACACUUAUUGGACCAAGAGCAAUUGUAGAAUGGAUUUGUUUGAAGUAACAAAAAAUAUUCUUCGCAUUCAAUUGAUUUUGGCAACAUGUUGAUUAUUGCCUCACGAGCACGUUGGAAGCAUUAAAAAAAAAAGAAAGAAGAAAAAGAAAAGAAAAGUUAUCAUUAAACUUUUCAUACAAGCACGAGCUAAUACAAAGUUCAUUUCGUGAACCAUGUAAUUUAUUUCACAAAAAAUACUAAGAAUCUUAGAGUAUGUAGGAUUACUUCUGGUUACACAUUAUUAUAUCUAGGGAAAGUUUUAUUAGAACUUACUGUUCACGACAUUAUCCACCUUGCUCUCCUCCUUCCAUAUGGAACUGCCAUGUCAACCAUUUUAUGAUGAUCUCUUCUAUGGGUAUCUUUUUGUUAGCUGUAAAGAAGUUUUGUUUCUCUUCUCCCAAUUAGAGCUGGAAAUAAACCAUUGACGAGCCUAACUUUUCAUCAUGUCGUUUGGGUUGGGCUUCUGAUCGGGCCUAUUGAAAAUUUGGCUAUCUUUAUUCCCACAGGUGGCUGAAAGUUUUUUUAGUAGCAGGUGGAGAAAGACCUCAACACUUCACAAUAGGAUUCAAAUCAUUGAUGCGACCAGGCCACCCUCUUGAAUCACUAGCUUCUCAUAAUUUACAAAACCAUCUCAUGCUCCAUUUUCCCUUGCAAUAAAUCUGUACUUAAAAGUUGAUUUUGUGUAUUUGAUGAGCACCAUUUUUUUAUAAUAAUAAAAAAAAAAGCAUGACGGAUUUUUUGCAUGCCUCUGGAGCGUGAAGCCUUUCUUGUCUCAAAUAUUCACUUGGAGCAUACCAUGUCUCAAUGAUUAACGUAAUUUUUCUAUAUUCCCAUGAUCGAACUUUCUCCGAAUAUGCAUUAUUGGCCUUUUUCUAGUAAAUCAAGAUAUGGUGUAAGGACCUUCCUUGAUACAAAGAAGGAUUAGCUACGAAUAAUGACAACAACCUGGUAUCUUCAAUCACAAGCAACCAAAGAAAUAAUUAUAGAUUCAUUAUUAAGCUGCAAGAAUAUGUUCCCAAGGGUAUAACAUGAAACCAAGAUACCUGCACGCAGGAUACAAGUUGGGAGCAACGGGCACAAGACAAUGAAAUAUCCCCUCGCUUUUGGCCCCUGCCACAUCCAUUGCUGCAUCCUCCUACCAAUUUUGCUGCAACACGGCAGCAGAAUAUCUAAUCGCAGCCUAUUCUUUCCUGGCUCCAUCAUCAUUCAUUCCUUCCCCAUCUCUUGCCUGAGGUUCUGCUCGCACGUGCAAGGACAGGGAUGGUAUCUUUUGCACGGAAGAAGGGUUCACUCUUUCUUCAUCUGUUGGAUCGUGCAAUGUCUGCUUGAAGAUCUGUGCAGACGGCAGAAUGCUUUGAGAUCUGUAUGGGUGCGAUCUAACAGUCGAUUUCAUGUAAGGAGAACGAUCAUUAUUUCAUGUGAAAGAUACAACCCGAACCUUACAUGCAAUGAUUAGUUUCUCUCUCUCUCUCUCUCUCGCCCACGGACCAAAUUUAUGCACCCUCAGAAGAUUGAUGCAGCUUGAUUUAUGCGCCCAUCGGCACAUGGAAGGUCUACAUAGUGGAAGGUCGCUGAGAUUGGGGGUGCACCUUUCGGGUGAAAGAAAUAAAGAAUAGAGAUGGUAAUGAGUCAAGUAUGGACCAAAUAGGCUAUUAGCUAUAUUCGUCCUGUGUUUAUCUCAAGGCAGCGGGAUGGGUAAAGUCUUGAAACUGGAUUGGAUGGAUUAGAUUGAGUAAAACUAUAAAAAUCAAUUUUUUUUUAAUCACGAAGAGAGAAUCUAUAAAGAGAUAUAUAUAUAUAUCCGGAUUAGAUGCAGGAUGUAUUUUACUAUUGAAAUUCAUCCUAUCGCCAUGGACGGAGGAUGUCCGCCACUCGCCACCCUCCAAAGCAGCAGGGGAGGCUUAAUAAGGAGUGGUAUUGGUUGCCAAGGAGGCCAUUGGAGAAUGGUGAUGGGGCCACCCAGUUGGGGUAAGGGGAUAGGACCCGCCCACCUGAAGAUAAAUUGUUGAUGGAAAUAUUCUUUGCAACAAGGCUGAUUUUUUGAUAAGUGUACUCACACUAGAAGGCAGUAUCAUUUUGGAUUUUUUUUCUUAAAAUAAUUAUUUUUUUCAAAAUUCUCAGCUUGACUGAUUAAUUAUCAUAAAUAACUUGUAAUUACAUCUAAGAAUUUGCAUCUUCUAUCCCAUCAUUUGUAAAAUUUAUGAUUAAUUAUCAUAGAUUUUACUUGGAAAUUCUUAGCUUCACUGAUUAACCAAAGUAAAUCCAUAAAUAGAAUAGGAAAUACUUAACAUUUUGUAACUUUCACCUAUUAAUAUCUCAUGAAUCAAGUGCAUCUCCCUCUACCUUGAAGUUUUGCUUCUUCUUUAUUCUACAUCGGCAUUCACACAUCUAUUGAUAUUAUUGCUUUCUAUAAUAAAAAACUUGACAAGUUUUAUUAUGGCAAUUGCCUUUUUUCAAAAAUAUAUUUUUAAGAAAAGUCAAGAAGACUUUUCUUUGAGCCACGUCCCCAUACAUUUAUUGAAUGCUAGCAACAGGAGCAGCCAAGUAUCUACUUUUCCACCUUUAUAAUGCAGCCAACCAUCCCCCUUAAUUCUAAACCUAAGAAUGAGAAGGCUAGAUCUCGAUUAAAACAGUUGCUUGAAUUUCUAAUUAUCUUAAAUUGAUCAUCAAGGGUGAGUGUUAUUGAAGUAAUACAUACUUUUUAAUAAUUGAAGCAACUACAUCAAAAUAUGAAGCAUGUUCGAUUAAUCUGAAGUUUGAACAGGCUCUUGCAAACGAUGGUAGCUGGCCGGCUCUAGAAAGGUGGAAUAAUUGAAGCAACUACAUCAAAAUAAGCUCGACCCAACGAUUCGGCCCGGGGUAAUGUGAUUUAGGCCUGCCUGUCAGCCUGUUGACAUCACUAAAUUUGCACUUUUCUAUAAGCAUUGAUCAUUGUAGCACAAAUAAAUGCUAAACAAAAUAACUUAUCCAAUUCAAAUGAAGAAUUUACUGCAGCAAAUUUUAUACCAACACAAAUCCCACAAUUGGUUGAAGCUUAUUGGUUCAAUAUAAGGAGAUGCCAGUACAAUAUUAUUCCUAAAAAAAGAAACUUAAUCCAAUAAUGCUCUCGGCAGUCAUUCAUGGUCAAGUUUAUGAUCCAAGACUUAGAUUUAGAGCUGUUCUAGACAUAUUUAUUUGCGUGUCAGCCUUUUCUUUUUGUUGCUGUACGGAAGUAUUAUACAAAACGUGCGCGAAUACAACUAAGAAAAUUAAAAAGCAACACAUUUUGGAGAGCACUCAGCAACUCUGCCUUGCCCUCCUAAAGAUGUACCUUCGAAUGGUGAGAUACAAAUGAAGCCAUCCAAUCAGCAGCACCAUUGGCCUUCCAAAAUACAUGCUUCGCCUAAAUAUCUCUCAGUAAUGGAUGGUAGUCGCUGACCCCCUCUCUAAAACUCGCAGAAUCCAUCUGAUGAUCACCGCAGAGUCGCCCUCCAAAAAGGCUAUCCUAGCCUCCAAAAGGUGCGUGUCACCUUUCAAGCAGCAUGAACCGUAUAGUUCAUUGGCCUGUGUGCUUAUGUACCCUCGGAGACGUCUUUGUGUCAAAUGAGCAAGAGAUGUUAUAUAUAUGUUUGAUCACAUAUCCCUUCCACAGAUGGUUCGUAGUUCUUGGGAUUCCCUUUUGUGCAAAGGUUUCAAGGAUGGAGUAAUACCUGUUGCAUGAGAGAGGACCCUAAUGUUUAGUUUUCCAGAGGCAAGUGAGAUAAAGAGAAUCCCAUCCUCUCCACUCUCUCCAUACUAGAAGCCUAUGAAUAAUGUAGCUCGUCCAUGGCCUUGUUCUACCCAUUUGGGUACCUUGAGAUAGAUCUCGCUCUUUAGGAUCUUGCAGACUUGGCAAUCUAUGGCUAGUAAUUGAUCUGUGCACAUUUGGUCGACAAGUCCACAAACCACUUGGCCCGUAAGAUGAACUAGAUAAGCACUGAUGAACUGGACAUGCAUUCACUACUGAUGUAUAUAUAAUUAUCAAGAGGCAAGUCAUUAAAUAUCAUAUGUGGGUUUGAUUGACAAAUUACAAUCGUAGUGUUAUAAAAGCUAUGUAAAAGCUUUUGUCAACUUUUUUUUCAUUAUUUUAAUUGUGUUAGAUCAUGAUAAUGUUUCAAUCAUGAUGUUAAUGUUAGAGUUUUAAUUUUAAAAAAAAUAAAUUUUUUUAUCUCCUAAAUUUUAGUUAUUUUAAAAUUUUGAAAAUACUUUUUAAAUUACCGUUUUAACUCCAUAUAAAAUUUUUGGGGUUAAUGAUGGCUAUGCUCUAUGGAACCAUAUGCGGAUAUCCAAGAUAAUAAAAUCUUUCCUUGGUAGUUGUAACAGAAAGUUAUUAUUUUUGGCCACGUGUGGCUUUUUGUCCUUUUGGGGGUUAAGAGAGAACCUUCUACGUUCCCAAUCAUUGCCUCUCCUCGUCCCGCUCGUGCGGUGGGACCCACACAAGAUACGAUUCUCCACGCAUCUCAGUUAUCCUUUCCUGCGAUGUGAUUGGCUCUUAUGGUACCGGUAAGACUGGCGGGACCCACCGGCCCACCGGACGAAGACUCUCCUGCACGGCUUUCUCUGCCCAAUCCUCGUUUCAGACGCGAGGACCCAUGAGAUGUCCAAUCAUAUUAUCCCACGUGGCCAGGGCAGAGCUGUUUGUUUUUUUUUUAUAGAUGCGAUGACCCGAUCCCUUCGGCGUAGCAAAGAUCACCGCUACGUUCAUAAUCGGACGGCUACAAUCGAGGGUCACUAGAAGUGGUAGGAUUGGCUCGUGACGCUCCAAGAACGAACAGCUCGUUUCUCUAGUCAUCGUCAACCCGUUCAUUUUAUGUGCAAGCAAAUGCACUUGCAUAGUACCAAAAACUAAAAUGUUUGGCUGAUCUUCUUUGCAUGGAAUCCAUAGAAUUCCAUCAACAUAAAUAAAGAAAUAAAUAUUUGCCAUGGAUUUAUAAUUUCCCUCAUGUUUUAACAAAUAACCGAUCAUUUUCUCAUGAAGCAUGCUUGUUGAGAGAGAGAGAGAGAGAGAGAGAGAGAGAGAGAUGCAUAUGGCAUAUAGAAAGUAAUAUUAGUUUAAUGGUGUACAAUAAAAAGGNNNNNNNNNNNNNNNNNNNNAGAGAGAGAGAGAGAGAGAGAGAGAGAGAGAUGCAUAUGGCAUAUGAAAGUAAUAUGUUUAAUGGUGUCAUAAAAAGGAAAUGAAUUUAUUAAUCUAAACACCGUAAUCCUAGAAAAUUUAUGUUCUUAUUUAUAUUUUGAGUAUCAUCACCUGCAUGGCAAUUGGCAUAAAUAUAGUAAGGUGUUAUUUUGCAAGAGAAGAUGAAUAAGUAAAUCCCUCCAACCAAUUACCAUGAUAAGAUGCCAUUAUAGGUUUUGUAAACAAAGGCAUAUAUCAUCAAUAAAGUUUGGCUACAUAGUGGGGGUGAUCUUUUUGGCAAUACUGCGAGCUCUCCUAGCCCAUAUGAGUGAGACUGAAUCGCAUGUUUAGUUCUUUCCGGCACAAUAAUUGUCCGACUUGUAAAUAUAAAGUUGCAUUGCAUGAGAUCAGGUAAAAUUAUAGUACUUAGUCAACUAUCCUAAUGAUGUACAUGGAUUUCUUUUUUCUAGAUUGGAAUUUUAUGUGGUUUUAGGAUAUAGGACAAGAGCCUCUAAACCCAUUGCAAGCCGGUGUAAACUAUUAGAGCCUUUAAUAAUUGACCAAUUGGCACUUUUAAAUACCUAAUCAGCACAUUGCCCUAUAUUCUUUCUUCUUCUAUUUUAAAGAAUUCACAAUUAAUGUGUCUCUCAACUUCUAAUAUCUUGUAGAAUUUUAUUUUGAAACAGGACCCAAUUUUAUUUUGAAACAUGACCCAACAUGGAUGUAAAUAUCAAUUGUUAGACAUAAGUACAUGCACUAAAUGUAUAGUUAAAGAAAAAGGUACAAAAUAAUAGUAUAUACAGAUUUAAAGGUAGCAGUAUCAAAUAUUAAUCUCUAUCCUUUUUUCUGUGUAUCAUUCAAUACAAAAAUUCACAACCUUCUCACACACAAAAAAAAGGAAUAAUUGUCAUGUCCUAUCAUCAAGUAUUGAUCUCUAUCCUUCUUCAAGUGUAUCAUCCAACACAAAAUUUACAAACUUUUUGCAAGAAAACUAUGCUGAGCAAUCUCUAGUCAAUUCAUUUUUUUUUUUAAGAGAAUUAGAAAUUGAUGGGAAGCCUACACCACCACAAUUACGUAAAUCCUUAUACUUGCGAAUAUAACAUUGAAGAAUUAAUUGACACAUAAUCGAAUCUCAUAUUCAUCUUGCUAAAUUACAUUUUCUCUCACGGGAGUUGGCAUAAAUAAAACUAUACGGAAUAUAGCAAAAAAAAAUAAAUAUUCUGGCAUAUUAUCUAUAUUCUUUAAAAUCCCUUCUUUUCUUAUACUCCUUUACAUCAAUUAAUUAAAAUUGUUAUACACAUAUGUUAAAUCUUUAUCAGGAUUAGAGUUAGUUAUUUUCAGAAUUGAAAAUCUGAAAAUCAAACUAUUUUUAUAUAGCUCAACGAUUUAAAUAUCAUGGAUAAAGGAAGAAGAACAUUAUGAUCCACGGUUUCCUGCCGUACUCCUAUCUUUAUGAAGCUGUUAUUUUAAUCAGUACAUUUAUUCUCUCACCAAAUCUUCGUCGCAUGUAUCGGGAAUCUGGCUCCCCUUCAUUCUCUCCGUAUCCAAAAUUCGCGCUAGCUGUAAUUAACAAAGAAAACAUACUCAUAAAAGUGUACUCACGAAGAACAGCGUUAGAAAUGGAAAAGAGAAUCCGGAAUAAUCUCUCAUAUCCAACGAACGAUACUCCGUAUUUUCCUUGGAUUUGAAGUAGUUAACCGUUUAGGACUUUCCACGCAAGUCUAUCGAAAAUGUCGUUUCCUGUUGGGUUUCCGAAUUAAAAGGAAGGGAAUCGAUACUGGUACUCCUCCGUUUAAAGGAGUACACACCGGCGAUCGAACAGAAAGAGCGCGUAUUUUCAAAAAAGGUGGGAGUUUAUUUAUAUAGUUCGUCAGGAUCGAUUUUUUUCCUUUAUUUUAAUUAUUCCUCUUUCCUGAUCCGAAGAGGAACCGAAGAAAGGAAAUCUUUAAUGCUUUCCUUAUUUAUUUAUUUUUAAAAUUUUGAUUCGAUUGUUUAGCUUGCUUCCUAAAAAGGCUUUUUUAUUUAGCAAGAUUUCGAGCUAUUUAUAGGCUAUUUAUUGGGAGAGAGUCGGUCUGGGACUCUAGUUUGGGUUUUCUUUCGUCUUGCCGACGGAAGAGAACGAGUGGAAGAAAGGGGAGGAGUGGGCUUGUGUGGAAGUUUUGUAGUGGAAGGAGAGAGGGUGCUGUGAGAGCGAUGGGGUUCCUGAACAGGGGGUAUGCUCGGGUUCUAGAUCGGACGGCGUCGGAGAGUGAGGUGGAGUGGGAUUGGUCUGCGGCGGCGGCGGCGGAGGCGGAGGCCGACGCCGGGAGCGGAUACCUUCAGAAGUUUGGGCUUUACGAGACUGUAUCGGUGAGCGAUUGCUUUGAUUUUGAAUUUGUUAUUUGUCGAUAUCUUAUCUCUGUUUUUUUUCCUUUUAUUUCUUUUCGGCAUUAAUUCUCCGUGCGCCGGCCGAACUUUCUGGCAUUGCGAUCUCACGAGGAUGUGAAAUUGUGCGGUUCUUAUUUGUUUCUUCUGUAAUAAAUUUUUAUAUUCUUCUCUGCUUGUUUUCAGUGUUAAAAUAUUUUCGAGUUUGAUUUCAAGUUUUUUUUUUUGAUCUUUACCUGGUAUCUAAACAAGGAAAAAAAUCUCCUGUUUGUUCUUCGUUUUUAACUCAUAACAGAAUCCUUUUUCUUGCUGGUUUGUUGAUGAUCUGGUGUAUGUUUGAUUGUAAAAGUUACAUCUUGGUGCAAUUCUUUUGAUAAUUUUCUGUUUCUCGGUUCUGUAUAGAAUGGAACAAUUCACGAUAUUCAAUACUUUCUUCUUGUUAGAGCUUUGCAUCGGUCGUGGUUUGUUUCAAUUGAUUGUAGUAUUUAACACUCACCAAUGUCUUACCAGUCCCAUCUUGGAGCACUAUGUUGGUUAGUAGCUAAGCUAUUGCAUGUUGCUGAUCAGUGCGUUCCAUCUGAAUGAUUUGAUGAUAAUGUUCACCCAACAAUUCAUUCUUGGCUGCAUGAACAAAUUGUAGGUGUUAUAUGUCCACUGUUUCUCUCCUUUCAUGAUGACAAUGGUUUGCUCUUGCUGCAUGAUGCUGCAGAAAUACUAUAUGGUUGGAAGAGACAAGAGUAGAAGGCUAUGGAGAGUGUUAACAAUUGAUAGAUUGGAGCCUUGUGGGUUGAACAUCAGCGAAGACCCCACCGUGUACUCGGAAAUUGAAUGCUAUGACAUGUUGAACCGAAUACAUGAUGGGAACAAGUCGACUGGGGGACUAAAGUUUGUUACCAGAUGCUAUGGUAUUGUUGGUACGUCUAGGCUGGGUUCCUUUUAUAUAAUGCCCUACAAAAGAUGCUGCAUUACCAAUAAGCUUCCCGUUGAGAUGCUGAUAAUCGAGUGAUAUUUAUUUAUUUCAGGGUUUUUCAAGUUCCUAGGGCCUUACUACAUGUUGCUUAUUACAAGAAGAAGGAAAAUUGGCACCAUAUGCGGCCAUGCAGUGUUUGCUGUCUCGAAGAGUGAAACAAUUGCACUUCCACAUUCUACUGUGGGGUCCGAUAUUGCUAAUUCUAAGGAUGAGAACAGGUUUUUGGUUUAUUCUGAAUGUGAAAAAUGUGUGAUGUCUCUUGUAUUUCUAAUGGACGCCGUAAUCAUUAGUGUUAAGCAAGUGUGCCAUACUGUCUCCAGAAAUGUUAUAUUGUUGAACUUCUAUUCUUCAUGUUUAAGCAUUUCAUUUUGUGACAGACCAUCUAAACUAAUGAGGAAUUCCGUUUCCGAUUGACAAUCCCAAUGCACUAUGGGGGUUAUAUUUGUUGUAAUGAUGAGCUUUAUUUUCUUUUUGCUUUUGUUUAAUCCAUUCACUGGCUUAUGUUGUCCAAUUCUUCCGAAACCUAAAUGCUUCAAUGGUCCAAUUGUUUUUGUCAGCUAUAGAUGUAAUUUUAAUAGGAGUCAGUAUUGUCUUUGUAAGUAUUCCACAUUUCCUUAAAUUUGUUUCAUUAGUUGAGGGCAUCUUUAUUUAUUUUAGAGUCAUUACAGUUUCUUGGAUCCUAAAUGCCAGAUCGGUUACUUCUUAUAUACCGAGGCAACUUCCAUGCAAUUUUGAGGUUGUCAUAAAAUGUUCGUUUGAAACGAGGUAUCACCGACAAGUUCAGAUUUCUUAUUGCUCUUACUUUGGGAAAACAGUAAAACCAAUCACAAAUUUUUUCUUUUCAGUUUUUUCCUUGUUCUUGUUACACAUUGACAACGGCAUUAACAUUUUUGUGUCUUUCAUUGAUGUUACAGAUACAAGGGGCUCCUAUGCAUGGUAGAUCUCACAAAGGACUUCUUCUUCAGCUACUCAUACAAUAUAAUGCAUAGUCUUCAAAAAAAUGCAUGCGAUGGGGAGACAGGACAUGUUCUUUAUGAAACAAUGUUUGUCUGGAAUGAGUUCUUGACACGUGGGAUUCGAAAUCAUCUCAAAAACACUAUAUGGACGGUUGCAUUGGUAUAUGGAUUUUUUAUUCAGGUAAAUUUUGAAAGACUGGUUUUAGGAUAUGUCUGGGAAUAUUAUAUAGAGACUAUUAUCUUAAUGAAACAGAUUCAGAAUUUUUUUCUUUUCUGGGUCAAUACUUCUUCUUGUUGGCAUGUUGUGCCAUAAAUAAGUGUGGCUCAAUAUACAGGUAUAAGAAUCUACAAUCCAUUGUUUGAUUAUCAAGUCUGGCAUAGGCACAAGCUUUAUCUUGGAGCCUUCAUUCUUGUUAAGUCACGUUGCCUAUUCAUGAAUGGACCACUAAAUUUAUGAUCUCUAGUUAAUAGUUGUUCUGCUUGCAUGAAUAAUUGCAUCUUACAUCCUCUAAAUUUCCAUUCACCCUCUCCUAUCUAUCGCUUAUUCAUCAUUCGUGGCUCUGUAUUGGAAUAUGAACAGUGUGCACAGUUCGAAUUCAGGGGCCAAUGAUUCAGGACAUGUGAGUGCAUGGUGAAGUUUCUCUCUAACAUGGAGUCUUCUCCUCCUACCUCGAAAAUAGUUACUUUGGCUUUAUUCCCUAAUGAAGCACUUCUUUUGUUUACAUAUCGCUUAGUUUUGUUUUGAAUAUGUUUAGAGUGGUCAUCUAAAGCUGAUAGGGUCUGUACUCAAGUAGCUACCUAAACAAAAGGGCUUGUUGGUAUUGGCUUUUUAAAGGUAAAAUCCUUAUUCUCAUACUGACCAGUGGCAGAAUUCAGAUCACCUAGUCACUUAUCUUCUGCACAAGCAUUUAAAAAAUUUCCCUGGUCUUGGGUAAAUGUAGGGCCAGUUUCCUUAUGUUUUGGAAGUUGCUGGUAGUUCUUCUUCUUGACGCUAUGUUAUCUAGCCCAUAUUAUUCCAAAAAUAAAUGAUGUAUUGAUUUUUAUCUGUUCAGACUAAACUCUCGAUCUCUGGGAAGGAUUUCAAAUUGACACUCAUUGCCAGGCGCUCACGCCAUUUUGCUGGAACCAGGUUACUAUGUUUGGAAUUUACGGCCAAAUUUUUCUAAUACUGUCAUAGAAAGUGAUAACACUAAAUAAGUGUUUACAAUUGUUAUCUACUGUAUAAUCAUAUCAAUUUCUUUUUGUCAGCCAUUGGGAUUUAUCUAUUUAUUUUCUUCACAGGUACCUAAAGCGUGGUGUUAAUGAAAAGGGCAGAGUUGCCAAUGAUGUUGAAAUAGAGCAGAUUGUGUUUGAAGAUGUGCCUGAAGAAGUUCCUACACCGAUAACUUCUGUUGUACAACACAGAGGUUCCAUACCCCUUUUUUGGUCCCAGAAAACUUCAGGACUGAAUAUUAGGCCUGAUAUCAUCUGUAAGUUUGGAACAUGUCAGGUCCUUUUCACUAUUAUGCUUGGAUAUUUCAUUUUUUUAAUUCCUCUCCUUCUUAUCCCCUAAUAUACACCCAAAAUUCAGUGACGAAGAAGGACCAGAACUAUGAAGCUACAAGGCUUCACUUUGACAAUCUUGUAAAGAGAUAUGGGAAUCCAAUAAUUAUUUUGAACUUGAUUAAGGUCAGUCUCUAAAUUGACUUCUAUAAAAAGAUAAACAUAUUAUAUUUUGGGUUGAAGUAUUUAUAUAAUAAAUGGAUUGUAUAUUCAAUUUUUUCACACAAAAGGAUUGCAAGUAACCUAUAAUAACUUCUUGAUCCCUUGCAAACUGCUCUUUGUUUUCAUAAUCUGACAUCAUCAGGCAUGUGACAAGAAGCCUCGAGAAUCUUUGCUCCGUGCAGAAUUUGCUCAUGCGAUUGAUUAUAUAAAUAAAGAUUUAUCAGAGGAGAACCACUUGAAAUUCUUGCAUUGGGAUCUUAAAAAUUAUUCUCGAAGGUAUCCAACUGCUUCUUUUAUUUGUCUCUUUGUUGAAGAUAGUUCAUUUUUCUUUCUUCCAGUAAUGAUUAUUCAAGAUGUGUUCCUAACAUUAAAUAAUAAAACUUAUUCAGAAAAGGAACAAAUGUGCUGGCAUUAUUGGACAAAGUGGCAACAAAUGCAUUGGAUCUAACUGGCAUCUUUUAUUGUCAAGUAACACCAUUUUUCGCGACUAAGUUUGCUCGAAAGUGGCCAAUCAUUGUGUAAGUAUCUUCCUUACAGUGCAAUAUCUUUUGACUAGGCAUUUAUUCUUUUGAACUUUGCAUUUUUACUUCUUGUUUACAUGUUCAAAAAUAUUUUUUUAGUCAGUCCUUCUCAGAUCAACGUUAAAUGUUAAUUUUUGGCUUGCAUAGUCAACAAUUCUGUCUUAAAUACCUUACAAAAAUACUAUUUUGUGAGAGCAUUAUAUGGAACAUUGUUUUAUUAUCACUUUUAUAUAAUGUCCUAAGAUUUUACGAAUCUAGUUAAAUAGUUUUGUCAUUUAAUGGUCUCAUUGGAAUCCUGUGUACCAAAUAUCUCUCCCCUACCACUCUUGGUGGUGUUAUUUAGUUCGUGAACAGCUUUUAAGUGCUCCAGCAUAAUCUUUACCUGAUCAUCCUCAUAAGGCAGUCGUGGCACAUGAGUUACCAUACAUGGUCUGUGUUUUCAGUAUGAACAGAGAAAGUUUAUUAUCAAGGGGAUUGUCAAGAUGAAUAAUUUAUUCUAGAUACCAACAAGACCGACGAAUGAGAUUUUGUAGAGAGAUAGUGAGAGAAGUUAUUAGUAAAAGUUCUAGACUAUCUAGACAAAACAGCUAGGUCAUGGUUUACUUUGGCUGUUAAUCAACAAUCAGGGUGCCACAAGGGCUUGCAAAGCAUGUCUACAUUUUUGAGUUACUAGGGCCAAGGAGUUGGCAAUGUGGCAUGAUCACCAACAGGACCGACGAAUGAGAUUUUGUAGGGAGAUAGUGAGAGAAGUUAUUAGUAAAAGUUCUAGACUAUCUAGACAAAACAGCUAGGUCAUGGUUUACAUUGGCUGUUAAUCAACAAUUAGGGUGCCACAUGGGCUUGGUGUAGGCAAAGCAUGUCUACAUUUUGGAAUAGGACUGAAUUAUAUACCCAACUUGAGGAAUAGGACUGAAUUAAAUACCCCUUGGUCAGCCUGUUAAGACCCCUAGCAAUACUCCCUCGUGUUUGUCAUGACUUAAUUUUGAUUUGAUUUUAAAGGAACUAUAGAAGGGGAAGAGGGAUGUAGAUUAUUGAGGAACCUCCAAGAAAUUCAAGAAGGGAGAGAGUCAAUGCAGUACAGUAUGCAAUAUCUGGUUGUUCAUGGUUCACCCUACUAGUGUGCACCGCCGGUACCAAGCAUAUUGUACGAUACCAAUGCUGAGAUGGCUAACCUUGGGUGGAGUAAAAGCCCAUGGAAUCAUGUGAAUUGCUAAAUAUGAAGGUGCUCUAAAGCACAGGUGACUUCAGGAAGAAGUCGGUGAUCUGUUAUGUCAAAGAGAUGCAUGGUACUGAAAGCUUCCAAGCAAUGGUAAUGAGGACAACUAAAGUGUUGGUUGAUCUUCUUUGUUCUGAAAAAUUGAUGGCAACCAAUCUGAAGAGCACUUUGGUUGUCAUGGUGUUAGGUGUAGGUGUGUUGAAGAAGACACUUGCGAACAUAAUCAAGUUUUGUAGCCAAACAGCAUCCGAACAUUUUUUUUCAUAAUAUGGCAGUCUUCCUUGAACAAGAGAUGGUUUUUGCUUCUUGACUUUUCAAGAGUUGUGAGAACUGGCUUGAGAUUUGGUAAAAGUUGAUAAGCUACAUGAACAUCAUAGGCAAUUCAUAAGGAGAGAUAGUGAGUUAAAUUAUGCUCCCUACAAUCCGCCAUGGUCAUGUAGGGCUAGUAAAGGGCUCACCAUGAUUGAGGUGAAAUUUUAAUUGAAGCUUAAAAGGUGUAAGAGAGGGUUGAGGUAAUAAUGUUAGCUGUAUUCUUUUUGUUAGCUAAGCAGAUUCUUGUGAAGAAUGCAUACAUCCUCUAACUUAAGUACUUCUAAGCUAGUUCCUUCACUACUAAACUUCUAGUAUUCUUUCUGUAAUUCAUUCCCAUGUUAAAUACAUCAAUUUUGCUAGUAAUUUCUAAUGGGCUUACAGUGUGAUGGACCUAUCCUUCAUAUUGUUCUUGGACCCUAAUACUUAUGUAUUAUCAUUGUAAAACUAUACCCAACUUUGUUCACCUUUAUAUUGUCAACAACUUGUAUUUAAAUUUUAAACAUGAUCUCUAUGUGAUUGUUAUAGGAAAGAUAAUGCUGGUGACAGUCCAUGCAAGAUUUAUGACAGUGGAGCAGGUGUUGUUAAUUCAGGAAAUGGAUCCUCAGAAGAUAAGGGGAACUCUAAUAUCUCUGGAAGUGAAUCUUCUGAAGAUAACUCUAAUGGGGAUGGAAGCUCUUUGAGCAAACCACCUACUUUUCAAAAAGGUGUCCUCAGGACAAAUUGUCUAGACUGCUUGGAUCGCACAAAUGUUGCCCAAUAUGCCUAUGGUUUAGCUGCUCUUGGUCACCAGCUUCAUGCCCUGGGCAUUAAAGAUGUCCCUAGAAUUGAUCAAGGUGCCCCUUUGGCUGGCAAUCUAAUGGUUUUCUAUGAGAGGAUGGGGGAUGCUCUUGCUCUACAAUAUGGUGGAUCUACUGCUCACAACAAGGUAUUUUUAUGGAUUCUGGAGAUUAUAAUGAACACUCUCUUGGAGAUACCAUUUAUGUUUGCUUCAAUAUCAUAAUUAGGUCUUUCUAUAUUUGCUUUAUACUAAUAUAUUUGUAGGGGUUAGAUAGAAUUGACUGUUUGUUAUUGUAGUCUCAUUUUUCUUUCUGGAGGUUGUAUUUUACUUUGUGAUCAUGUAUAUGCUCCUUUUUGGGCUUGGUAUCAAAGCUCAAAUUUGUAACAUUUGCAUUUUUGAUCUUUUUUGGUUGAUGCUAGUACUAUAUCCUGUAAGAAAUGUUCGGACUUCUGGUCAAACAAUGAUGUAUUCCAGCUAGACUCUUGCAACAAUCUAAUAUCAGACAUUGACAUUAUCACAAGCUAUCAGACAUACUGUAAAUAGGAUCAUUCGUUUCUAGGGGAUAAACAUAUGUCAUGUGUCAAAACAUGUAUUAAACGAUUUAAUCGUUGUUUUCAUCUAUUCCCAUCGAGAUGCAUGCUGCAGAUAAAUAAUUCUGAUAAUGUUAAACAUAGGAUGUUAGCAUGUGUAUUUUGCUAAGGUAAUUUUAUGUAUAAGAAUAGUUAUUUUGAAUGACAAGUUACUUGGUGGAAAUCAUAUAGCAGGGUAAAAUAAUUUUUACAUGUCUUGGUGGGUGCCCCAUCAUCAUGGGUAUCAUGAUAGUAAGUUUAAUUUGUUUAUGUUUUUCUUGUGGUUAAUGGCAAGUCUACUUUUCUCAUCCAAGAUUGGGAACAAGCAAAAUGAAUUGAUUUAAGGUUGUCUUUGCAUCUUUUGAAAUACUAUUGCACUGUGGAGAACUUAGCUUCAUGCUUUUAAUGGUCUUUGGGGAACUGAGAGAAAGAUACGGAGGUAGAAUAUGAUCAUAUUCACAUUUACAAAGCCGAUCAAGAUAGUGACAACUAGACAUGCUGAUACAGCUCUUUAUCCAUCAAAAUUCCGAAAAUGGGGAAUCAUGAAAAGUUGAUUUGAUCAAAGAGGGAGCGAUAGGGUGAUGAAUUCAGAAAUUAGCAGUCUAGGCAUACAUGGCAAGCAUAUGAAUUUGGCUGAUGUGGAUGAAGAUUGAGAGGGCGAGCCUUGGCACAAUGGCAAGUUUUUUCCAUUGUAAGCUGGGUGCCAUGGGUUUUGAAAUACGAAAACAGCCUCUUUGCACUUGGAGGCAAGGCUGCGUACAUCUAACCUUCCCCAAAUCUGACAAUGGUGGGAGCCUCGCACACUAGGUCACCUUUUAUGGCUGAAGGUUGCUUCUGGAUGUCAAUAUUAACAGCCUCCCUCACUCCAUGUUAUCCUUAAAUUGAUUAUUUGUACAUUAUUGCUUUAGAGAAAUCUCAUAUAGCACGGAAGCAGAGUACUAUGUAAGUGAUGUUUCUUCAGUGGCUUGGCAUUUAGAGCAAUGCAAUGAUGGAUGAUGAUGCUGUUUCUUGAUUAAAUUAUUCUAUGGCCUAAUUUGAAGUCUUAGCAUUGUUACUAGCAUGCUUAAGCAAUACAGGCACAGUAUAUCCAGAAAUAAAGAUUGGGUGUCUUUUUGUUUUCUCUCGGCUGCUUCUGAUUCUGUUCCAAUUGAUUCAUCAUUUACUUAUUUCAUGCAGGAAGCUGAAAAUGUGUUAAUGAACGUUAUGAUGAGCUCCUGAUUUUUUUGUUGUAUGAUAUAUAAUAAUUUUUAUGAGUUAUAAAUUAGCCUGAUGUUACCAUGAAUGGGGUCUUCACGCCCAUCUUGUUCUGAUGUUACCAUGAACUGGCUGCUCUGUUGUAAUUAACGAGAACAUGUAUAUAUCUUGUUUUUCCAUUCCAUCGUUUAUCAAUCAUGUGUUUAUUGACAUUUUACUAUUUCUUUAUCGAAUUAAUUUACUUCUUAAGUAGAUUAUCCCUGGAUUUAUUUUUCCUCUAUCUUCUGGACAAAUUUUCCAACUCCACUCAGUUGGUUCUUAAUCAUUCAUUUGGUCAUGAUCCAUAGAUAUUCUGUGAGAGAAGAGGUCAAUGGAAAGCAGCAACCCAGUCUCAGGAGCUACUCAGGAGUCUUCAACGAUACUACAGCAACAUGUACAUAGAUGCUAAAAAACAGGAUGCUAUAAAUGUGUAGGUUUAUUACAGCUUUCUUCUGUGAAUUAGCUGCAAUGUUAUGUGCGUUUAACACUGAUUAGAAAUGAUAUGUAUAAUUGUUGGAGAUUCCAUUUCUAUUUCAUUAUAGACUCAUUUUUUGAGGGGAUAUGGCCUUCUAAAUUACAGGUUCCUGGGGCACUUCCAACCCCAACAAGGUAAACCAGCACUUUGGGAACUGCAUCCAGAUCAGCAUUCCAAUAUUGGCAGGCAUGGUGAUGAAAAUGUUAGGUACUGAAAUCUUAAGUUUUGACUCAUCUUCAUCUGUUUUUGAUCCUGCACGUAAUCUCUAUUUUCUCUAUGGGCUAAUAUUUAAUAGUACUGAUUUCAUGGAAAAGUUAGUUACCCAUACAUAAGACCUGUAAUUGUGGAGACUUAAUGAGAUAUACCUCUGAAAAUCAGAAGAACAUUGUUUGAAAAUGCAUAGUGAAAAUUUAUUUGGAAAUGUGUGCUAUGUACAUUGCAUGCUUACAUGCAUGUAUGCACACAAAUGCAUUCUAAGGAUUUAGCAUGAUGAUCUAAUGGUCCUUAUAUAGUUUGGGUUGGAAAAAAUUUCGGGCUGGCCAAAUUGGAGCUGGGCCAAAGCUUGAGCUUGGACUAGGCUUGAAGAGCAAGCCUAGAAUCACGCCCAAGAUUUUCAAUUUGCAUCUCCCGUCAUUGAUUUUGGCAGUGGAUGUAAAAUCCUCAGUUUACCCUGUUUCUAUUGUGUAUGCAUGCAUAUAUUUUCUAGGUAUAAAAGGAUUUAUUCUUGGUAAACAUUCAUAGUUUCUGUUUGCAGGUCACUUAUGAAAAAAUCCCUAUCAGCAUUGCCUCCAAGAAUGCACCAGCAGGCAGACGACAAAGGUCUUUGUGAUUCCACACCAGAAAUUUCAAGCGGCAUGUCAUUUUCUAGGUCAGCUGCCUCAUUUUUCAUAUUUGAUGCAUUUUAAAAAACUUGCUCUCAAAAUUGUUUCUAGGUCAGCUGCUCUCAUAUAUUGUACGAUUUUUUUUAAAAAUUAUUGUUCUUGUAUAAUAUCCAAAAGCAUUAUUGGUAUUCGACACUCAAUAAAUGUUCAUUGAAUUUGUCCUUAUUUUUUCUUAAAUGGCCAAUAAAUAGGAAAAGUUCAUUUUUCCUUGAAUAUAGAUAACAGUGAUAAUCAUUACAUCAUCAAUAUGCCUUUGAUCUACUUUUUGCAGGUCCCACUGUUGAAAGUCUCAUGUUGUUUUUGGUUUUCCAGCGAUGUUAAUAGCCUAAUAUUCCUUCCUUUUUACUAUAGGUACACAUCAGUAAUGUCUCACAGGCAACUUUUUGCAGAUAGUGAACAUGGGUAUUUUACUGAACAUAGAUUUAAUGAAUCAAAUUGUUCGAACUUUCUGGACCUUGAUUGGUGUUCAUCAUCUGGGAAUUCAUGUGAGGAAGAAACUUCUGAAAGGUGGUAUUCUAGUGAUGCUGUACUUAUUUGUAUUCACUGCUGUAUGUUUUUCUUUUCUUUUUCAUGAGAUUUCUAUAAUCCUACUUGUGCUUCCCAUAAUUAGGAUGUAUUUUCACAUUAUGUCCGAAAGGUUCUGCUUUUGUGUUGUGUUCUAUGAAUUAUUCUCUUUUAGGCAACCAGGUGCAAGUCAAUGUUCUCAUACUGGAAAAGUAGGUGUUGGUGAAAAGAGUUUUUUUUUUGUGAGACAAGUUUUUCUGGUGUGCAUGCAUGUGUUUAUCAUGCUUUUGUGGGCCAGAUAGAGCUUUUGAGCAUGCUUCUAAACUGAGUAAUAUUGCCUAUAAAUGCCGAAAAGUUUAGAUGUUUCCAAGGUUUCUUGCUUUUUCCAUUGAGUGGAUACAAAAUGGUUAAUUUAAAAUGACAAGAUAAAAUUGGUCUGAAAGCCUAUGAACCCAUUGAAUUGAUAAUUGGACUUACCAAUCAAUACGAAAUUUGAAAUGCAUAUGUUAGUGAUGUGGACAAUAAGAUGCCUUUUUUUUAUUAAAGUAUCACAUGCCCUAAAUGAGCAAAAGACCCUUCUUUGAAUUUCAUUUAAGACUAAAUGCAAGUCUUGCUUGAAUCAUUUUUAAUAGGGUGUCAAACCUUGGAUGUCUUAAUGUCUUUUUUGGUAAUGAUGUCUUAUUUGCCUUUACCAACAGUAACUUUUCUCCCAAACUUCAUGCCUGUUAUUAUUAAUUUUGAUGAGUUUUUUUCUUUCUUUUUUCCCUGCAGAUCCCCUCUUAUCAACUCACUUGUAGAGACUCUAUCCACUGAAAAUGUCUUCAAUGUUGUGAAGACUGAAACAAGUGAGGAAGGGUCGUGUAGUAAGGUCAGUAGUUCUUCUCCUGCUAUUGUCCUGUCUUGAACCAUUUAACUCCAGGAGGACUCAUAAAUUCAAGUUUUUUUUAGUUGAAGUUGGUCUAUGACUUAAUGUAAUUUCAAAAUAUGGACUCAAAUUCAACCAUUAAACAGUCCCUGUUACCAUGUCAGAAAACUGAUAGAUGACCAUGUCAGGUGGAAAACAUUAUUAGCAUAUUUGUAAGCAUCCAACUGAUUUAGCUCUAUCAUUGCCUGCUACAACAAUAGAUUGUUAGCAUGAUGGUGUUUUAAGAAAAGAUUUCAAGGAUCUCUCUGGAUAUUCUUAUUUGCCAUAAAAAGGUAGGUGAAAUAAUAAACUGGUCGAACAUGGUAGGGAGUGUGUAUGUUGCUCAAGUUCUCACCUUCUACAAUAUUCAUUAUAGCGGUCCCAAAACAAAGCUGGUUUGUCAUUUUAUUUAGCUUUUAAAUUUCCAGACUGGUCUGCCUUCCAUCUCUUUUGAGUUGAAAGCAAGUUGUUCGAGCUGCUAUUCUUUAUGGAUAUUGGAGUAUCCGAAUAUGCCUAAAAAGUUUAUAACUAUUAAAUCAAUUCAUUGCAUCCAAAAUAAGACCUAAAUUUAUCAACUUUGAUGCUCACUGAAGGCAUUUAUGUUGCCUAUAAAUUGAUAUUAUUACUGAGUCCUAAUUCAAGUCAGACUAAUUAACAAUUUUUCUUGAGUCAGAAAGAAGUUAAAGGCAUUGAACUUGAUUCUAGAAUCUAAAUAGAAAUUAUAUCUUUAUGAAUUUCUGUUUGUUUGGGUCACCGGUUGGUCAAAUUAUCACAAGAGAGGUACUAUCUAAUAUUGAAAUGGAAAAAAAACGAUCCACAAAUUUGUGAAGGCUUUGGCCUUUUUAGAUGUUUGCACCUAUGGAUUUUUUGUGUGUGGAAGUAUUGGUGCUUGUAUAAUUGUGUCCUACAUAUGCUUGUCGUGCAUGAAUUGGACGUGUGAAAUGUGAAUGUUAUCGGCAAAUAUAUUGUGCACGAAUUGUUUGGAUGUAUGAGAUAUAUAUAUCUAAUGAAUGUCUAUAAUAUACAGUAUACUUGCAUCUUUGGAUGCAAUGUGUGUACAUGCACGACAAUAUAAGGUGUAUUUAAAAUGGGGAUGUAGUUGAAAUCACACAAGGUCAGGCUUUACUUCUUCAAAUUAGAAUAGCCAUUAAUUUUGAUUAUUCACUCACAUGAGCCAAUGUUUGUGCUGUAAAUGACAUGAAUUACAAAUAAAUGCGCAUUUUUUUCAGCCAGGUUUAAUUCUAAUGACAGUUGGAACAAAACAAUGGUUCUUCUGUCCAAUAUUUUGUAGUUUCAGCUACUUUUUGUAUUCUUACUUAUCCACUUCCUGGAAACUCCUUAUUUAUUGGCAACAGGGAAAAGAAGGAACAAAUAGAUCACUGCUCGCUGAUGCCCCUGAAAGCUCCAGGGCUCCUAUUGAAUUUUCUGAAAGCUUCGCACGGUGGGUUGCCAAUGGAGGGACUUUUCGUUAUUGAUGUGAAGAUAUUCGCUCCUAAUCUGUCUGACCUUCAGCUUCAAGGAUGUUUCAGCUCAUAUUGUUUGGUUAUAAUAAGUGGUAGUCUGAUUGUAUAUAGUUCAAGCCACUUUUGGCUGUGGUUAAGCUAGUGCAGGGGUUUGCCACGUCUAACACAUCCAACUGGGGUGUGGAAUGAAAUUCAAAUAAAACUAUCCUCGAGAAAGGGAAAAAAUGUUUUAGCACUAGACAUUACUUUGUAACUACACGAAAUGAAUUGAAAGAUUGUUCUUUUAAAAGAGAGAUUGAACCAUUUUGUUUUCAAUUUAUCAGAAAUCUGCAACUCUUAUACAAUGUGACAUGAUUGCCACGUGUGCUCUCGGCAAUUUUCACGAGUCAUAAUAUCUACAAAAUUGAUGAAUAUGCUUUAAAGUAUGUCCGAACAUGUUGGCAUGUUAGCAAGAACAUGUUGGUUGGUAGAAUUCGCUUUGAUUCUGUGGUUCAAAGCAUUUGGGGGUUGUGAGGCCCACCCUCAUUAGGCCAGGGUGUUGGCCGGUCUAACACCAAGUGAGGGCCCGAAGGCCCUUUUCCCAUUUAGAACGGGGUAGAGCCCUAGUGAACCAUGCCGGUGGAAGAGGAAGAGUCCUCCACCACAGACUCUACCGAAGGCUAGGAUAAGCCUAACCUCCCCUCUUAGUUCUUCCUCAUCGGAAGAUCCUCGCAUAAGCCAUCGUCUUCGUUUAAGCUCCCUGUGCCCGCCGGAAUUAGAGGUAUGAGCCUUAAUCUCUCUCUUUUGUUUCUCAGUUCACCAACCUCAUCCUCGGUUGUGUUUUCACCGAAAAAAUUCGUGAAAGAAGGGGUUCUGUUCAUCCCUUGUUUUCUGAACCCAUAACCUAUAUUGUUCUUCUUUUUUGGGCCACCUCCGUUGCCGGUGCUUGUCGCCGAAGAUGGGGGCUUAUCCCCUUUGAUACCUUGGGCCGUCACCGGAGCCUCAUCGUCGAAAAUCAUGAAGGAAGAAAGAGAGGGGCCAAAAUGUCUCUUGUCCCCAGUCUUCUGGAUGUCAACCGCCACAGCCACCUAACCAUGGCCCUCACCUCUUUCUUCUUCUUCCUCCUCUCUUUUCUCUUAGGGCUCGUUUGGUUCGCGGGAAGCAUUUUCCCUCAUAGGAUAUGAUUCCUGGGAAACAAUUCCUNNNNNNNNNNNNNNNNNNNNNNNNNNNNNNNNNNNNNNNNNNNNNNNNNNNNNNNNNNNNNNNNNNNNNNNNNNNNNNNNNNNNNNNNNNNNNNNNNNNNNNNNNNNNNNNNNNNNNNNNNNNNNNNNNNNNNNNNNNNNNNNNNNNNNNNNNNNNNNNNNNNNNNNNNNNNNNNNNNNNNNNNNNNNNNNNNNNNNNNNNNNNNNNNNNNNNNNNNNNNNNNNNNNNNNNNNNNNNNNNNNNNNNNNNNNNNNNNNNNNNNNNNNNNNNNNNNNNNNNNNNNNNNNNNNNNNGGAAAUCAUAUUCCCAUGAGAAUUCAACUUUCCCUUCUCUCUCCUUUGAAAACUCUAACCAAACAAGAGGCAUCUCAUUACUUUCCCAUUGACCACACUUUCCCCCCUUCUUUUUCCGCGAACCAAACGAGCCCUUAGUUUCUUCCUUCUUCUUCUUUGUUUCUCUGUAUUACUUCUCUCUCUUGUUUCUCUCUCUUAUCCCUUUUUUUCUCUCUCUAAGUACGCUUAGGAAUCUUAGUUUAAGAUCUUAUCAUCCUUUGUUCAGAACUAAGUUGCCCUUGGUGGAGGCCUUGAACCAUCCUGGUACUCGGACGGUAGGCCACUCCGUUACCUCGGCAUUGUCAAAUCUCUUUAAAAUUUUAUCAUCAUUAACCUUCAUUGAGUCACUUAAAUUAUAUCUGAUCUUGAUCAGUUUAGUUCACAUUGUUCAGACUGACCUAUGCAGUCAGGUACCGCCGCCUAAUUGGCAUUGCCUUUGAUUCACUCUGAUUGGGCAUAAGGUUGUAUCCGCAAUAGUAUUUUAAUUUUGCUUAGCUUCUAAGAUAACCUAAAGUUAAUUAUAUUUUAAUGAUAUUAAAAUAGGCGAACCUGACCCGUGUAACUGGAGUGAGAUUUAGAAGUGAUAAGAGGUAAGUAACUUCAUGCUUCAAAGUAUGUUUUCUAAAUUUUUAGUAAAAUAAUAAUUAGUUUACUAAAUUUGAUUAUGAUACGUGUUUUAUACUUAGUUAAACGGGUUAGGCAUGUUACUCUUAUGAUAGUAAUUAUUUUAAAUUAUGUUAUGCGUUAUGUUAUGAAAUUUAGAAAAUAUGACUGGCAAUUUAUAAAAUUUAUUUUAUAUGUAUAUAUUCUCAGCAUUACUAUGAUUUGUCCCCGCCAAUGGUUAUUAUUUGUUAGCUCUAUUGAUUUAUAAUCUAUGAGAAACUAAUUUCGACACCGUCCACCGGUGAUUAGAAUAGUGGUAUUUGAACACUGCACCGCCAGUGGUUAAUAAUAGUGGUGUUUGGCACUUUGUGCGACCUAUGCUACUGGGUUACAUGGCUAUAGCUUACUGUUGAAUUUCUGAUAUUAGUUUUUAAAAAUAAAAAUAUAUUUUCAAAAAAAAUGUAUGUAUUAUUCGAGAAUUAAUUUAUUUCUCAAUCAAUAUCUUGCUUUUUUUUAAUUUUUUUUUGGCAUGCUUAAACCUACUUUAGGAUAUUAUGUUGCUUACUAAACUAGUAUAGCUCAUUAUUAUAUUUUCUAUUUUUUUCAAAUCCAACUGCAUAGGUGUGUUAGAUCUUUUGAAUAUACUUUUAAUUAUUGUAUUUAAUUUAUGUUAAUUGUUAGCAAAUGCCGACUUAUGUCACUUUAAAACUAUUAUAAAAUUUAUUUAAAUAAAUUAUUAAUUAAAUAUUUUUUAGAAAUUAUUAUUAUUUUAAUAUGGUCUGCAGUCUUGCAUGCUUGUAUAGCCUGCAAUACAAGCAUAUAGCGUUUGUUAUGCUCUAAAUUCGUGACGGUGGCAAACCCAGUAUACCUCCAAAAUCUUGCAGCAAGCAAAGACAUCAAAACACAAUGCAGUAAACCAAAUCAUAAACAAUGCAGUAGCAUUAAUCAAUCAUAAACAGCACAGCUUGUUCAAUGAAAAUAAUAAUGCACAAAUAAUAUUAAACAAGAGGCCAUGGACAUCAAAACUAUUCUCCCUGAAGCUUCAAAUUUUACUUACAUCAUGUUUCAAGAUUUUUAGGUUAAAAAAAAAAACAUCCCUAUCGGCAAGAUAGAUCAUAGUUGGCCAAAGACUAAUAGCAAAACCAAAGCUCAUCUAAAAUUGAUUGCCGGAAGAAAAUUUGACAUGCGAGGAACUUGAAACUGCAAUUAGCCUGCAGUUAAUCCCAGCCUGAGGGAGCAGGAGGGGCAGGCUCCCAACCAGAGGGCACAGCUGGAGGAACGACACCUUCCAUAGGUGGGGGUGGGGCUGCAGACGCCUCCCAUCCAUCGCCAGCUACAGGGGCUGUUCAUUAGAAAAGAAAAGGACAUAAAAAAUAGUUCUUCAAACAAAUAUGAAGAGAACAAUGAUGCCACACACACAGGCAGCGAAAAAAUAAAUGAUAUGCAUGGCAUGGGACCAUCAUACAAAGCCAGCAAUAGACCAGUAUACUUGGCCUGCAUAUAUCUACACAUCAAGCGUGGAUAACAAACAACAUAAACAGUUAGGUAAGUGGCAGCAACACUAAAACCACACGCUGCAGAAUAACUCUACAUUAUGACAAUAUAAAAGAAGAUUAUCUUGCUUCGCUGCAUCGUGGUUUCCAGUAGGCUUACUAUGUGGAAUAGAAAGGAUUGAUAGCAUCUGACGAAGUAGACAAAUCCAUCUCUAGUGGAAUGAGGCUUGUCAUUCCUUGAUCCUGCUUACAAUCCUAUGAAAAUAAAGCUAUUGAUGCAAUAUUCAGGAAAGCCACAGAAAGGAAACUUGGGGCAGAUUAUAAACCAAGGUGCACACUCAUGACCGACCAAAUAGUAUGCCAAAAUGGUCCCACUGGAAAUAUAAAGGGUUAGUGGUUUUUAAGAGCAACAUUUUAAACAGGGCACACUAGAUACUAGCAGUUAGAUUGUUUUAAGUUGGUGAACAUAAAUCUCAAGCAAGUGAAUAGCUAUAACUAUGCUCAGUAUGCUGGACAGUAAGUUUAUGCAGAGGAUAACCAUGAAGCCCCAUGAACGAAGAAAGUCUGAGUAACUAGAAUCAUAUAAGUGGAAAAAUUGGUCAAAUUAGAAGGAUGGGAGAAUUAGGAAAUAGUCCUGACCUUGAGGAGCAGUCCACUCAACCACAGGCACUACAGGAACAACGGCAGGUACAGCUCCCAUGUCCGGCACCCACUGUUCAGCAGUCCACCGAGCAGUGGGUACCGCCACAUCAGUGUAAUCAGCAACUGCACCAUAUUCAGGGGCCACUGGAGCCUCUUCUUCCUGUUCUUUAGCUUCCUCAGGAUCCCUGUAGAAAAAUAAAUCGACCUGCAUAGACCACAAAACUGAAUCAGAAACUCAAAUAUAAUUAGAGAAGAAGAUCCCUAACAUCAGCAAAUUAGAAAACCACAAAAAAGAGUCAAACAUUGUAUACGCUAUAGAAACAUUUCUUCUCCAGAUGAUUGGUUGAUAAUGCUUCAAAGUGAAGAGGGGGAAAAAGUUAAAAGCAUGUAAGGGAGUUGUCUCUUACCAUCACUUCCCAUUUACGCCCAGGAGCGAUAGUGCCACGCAUCUGCAGAACCAUCCUAGCCAACAACCAGUAGAGGCAGCCAAUACUGAGCUUCCCUUUGUUGUUUGCAGGAAUUCCAAUAUCAACAUAUCUCAUUGGAGAGUCAGUGUCACAGAAGGCAAUUGUUGGAAUAUUUCCCAGAGCAGAUUCCUUGAUAGGCUGCAGGUAUUUUGAACAGAAGGAAUUAAUGUCCAUUUCCAGGUCAAAUACUAAAUCCUACCGCUCUUGCUGAUAAAUUUACCUGAUGAUCAGUUCUAGGAUCAGUGAGGAUGAGAAGACGUGGCUCACUAAAGGAUGUCUGAAGCUGAUUGGUGAAGGUUCCAGGGGUGUGCCUUCCAGCAAUAGCAUGAGCACCUGUGUACUGAGCAAACUUCAAGACAGCUCUCUGACCAUAUGGCCUUGCAGAUUGGACAAUAAUAUCCUGAGGAUUCUCAAUGGCAACGAUGACCCUAGCAGCUAGCUGAAGUUUCUCCCAAGUUUUACCAAGAUUGAUGAUGAAGAUACCUGGAUAAUUAAUACGUUAUGAGUUUCAGAAACAAUUCAUUGAUGUAAGAAGUCAUAAAAGCUGCAAUGGUUAUAUAUAAAAAAAGGUGAGAGAAAAAACAAGGAAGAACACAGAAAUUACUUAAUAUAGCCACAGUUCAAUCAAAGAAAUAAUUCAAAAAUAUAUCAAAUUUGUAAUAAAAGCAGUACUUAUAUGGAACUCAUCUAGAUAUAAGAAACCCAAAGCAUAACAGUAACGGGGGCAGCUCAGAGCCACAAAGCUGCAGAAAGCUACAAAAAAUCAGCUGAAAUACAGUUAGCAAUCCAGCCUCUUUUAUUUUCUAAAAAUAGAUAUUGCUUGUUAUAGGACUUCAAUAAUGGUAUUUAGCUUUUCAAAGAUUAAGCAAUGAUACUGGAAGAAAAUAUUGUCAUAACCUAAGGAAAUUGGUAAUUGGUGUUAGCGAGCCAUGCAUCCACUAUCCCAACUCUCGAUUCUUAAAGUCGUUAAAAGAAGCAUGCAACAUCAUGAUAACAGGUAAAAUGACCAUUUGCAGUUGGCAGAUUUGGCAACCUCAUACUAUUUUGGUGCUUGAUUCUAACAUAACCCAUCUAAAGCCAAAGUCACAAAAGCAUAAUCACAACUACUUGUGGUUGGCUGUAUAACUCUUCCACAUGAUACAUUCCAAUACAGAGUUGCACUCAUUGUCCAUUGUUACCAUAAAGCAUUUAUGAACAGUGUUUCCCAAACUUCCAUCAAUGCCCCUCCCCCCUCUAGAUAUGCAUUCUCUGUGGAUUGAAAUAUUCAAUAACAAUAACAGGUAACAACAACCAUUUUUGGCAGGUAGUAAUGGUUCAAGCCCAGGCUCACACACUUUCCUUUACACAGCAUCUCAGAAUCACCAUAGAAUAUUUGCAAAACAAGGAAAACAAUAAAGUGCUAUCAAUUCAUGCUACCACUGGGCUAACUUCAAAGUAUUAUUCUCAACCACCACUUCCAGAUAUUGGCCCCCAUCCACAAUUCUCAUCUAUCCUAUGCCUAUCUCAUGUGCCUUGACUGUAUCAAUAAUCCGACAUCCUUAUCCAUUGAAACAUGCGGGCCAUAUCGGUAUCCAACAAAAACUUCCCUUGCAUGCAUACAGGAAAAGCACACCAAAAAUUCUCCAGGCAUACAGGAAAAGUCCUAUUUCCUUGCAUCAAAGAAAAUCGCUGAGGAACUUGUAGCAGCUCCACAAAUUAUCAUCUAUUUUUGUAUACAAUAAAGUUAUAUUUCAAUGGUUCAAAAGGAGAAGCAGAAAAAUAUUAUGAUCGAGUAACAAAAUUAAAGCGAAUAACAGAGAAGAAAUACAUCAAACAAGUAUAGAAGAGAAACAUCACGAUUCACAAAAGUUAUAUAAUAUCACCACUAAAUCAAUAAGUUAUCCCCACGAUAUCACGUCUACUGUGUCCCUACCCGAGAUACAUUAUCAGAAACUUGGUACCAUCAAAAAUAAAAGAAAAUAAGAAAGAAUUAUAUCGACAGGUAUAUCAAGGCACGGUGAAAAUUUAUCUAGCACUUGGCACAACGACUUCCAAAUUUCCAUUUACCUAGCAGAAUCAGAUCAAACAAGCGCCGAAAAAAUAAAAAGAAAUUAGAACUCAACUUAAAAAGCCAAAGAAACUCAGAGUUCCAGCUAACCAUCGAUUAUGGGAUGAGAUACCAUUACCAAAAUCGGAACUUCCGUUGACUCCUUUAUUGACCUAAUCCACUAAACCUUAAUAAAACUCCAAAUGACUUAUAAAAAAAACAUAAGAUCUUCAUAAACAGUCCAUCCUACUGCCUUCUCUCACCGGCAGAAAUAACGCCACAAAUCUACAGACCUGGCAUGAAAUGGGAAUAUGCAGGAAGAUUCCAAGAGCUAGGAAUUGGAUACCGUCGGAUCUUCUCUUGAAGACGUAGCGCUCCAUCUGGAAGUCGCAGUUCUUGGUGCCGAGAUGGACGUCGGCGGCGAGCAUCAUCUGGAUGUCCUGCUCCUUCUGGGAGAGCACCCGCGUCGUCGCCAUGGAUGGAAGCGCCCCUGGAGGCCGAGCUCGAGGGCUAAGGCUAGGGUUAGAGUUUUGUAGAAAGAAAAAUGUUUCCGAAACCCUAGCCUCUUCUUUUACCACAGGCGACGAUGGCGGAGGCGCGGGCGAGUGGGGAAGAAGGGCCCUUAUUUCGGGCCCCAGAAUCCGUAGUAAAAUGACUAAAAUGCCCCUCAUUUUAAGAAUGGACCGGGUUUGCUUGGUGGUUCGGUAAAACGGGCCGACAAUUAGGUAGAUGCUUUUAUUUUUAUUUUUAUUUUUUUGAACGUACACUUAAUCUUUCCAUAAAAAAAUACACACGCACAUAAUCUUGACAUUUUCACCAUUCAGUUUGAAUUUGAUUUUAGGAUUAUAGAUAUCAAUAUAUUUGAUGCAGAUGAUUAUUCAAUCCAUAAACUCAAAGACUUCCAUGCAUUGUAAUUUUAGAGAUAUUGCUCCAAUUUGGAUAUGUGGGAAGUACAAAAUAAGGAUACUUGAAAAAAAAAAAGAGUGAACGUUAUUUUCUUUAAAAAAAGAAAUUGUGGAUCUCGCAAGUAGCUCAAUUGAUGAUACAGUUUUUGAAGUUCUCUUAAAAUAACCAACUCCAACUUAUGUUACUCCUUUAUUCUUUAAAGUAUCUAAAAGAAUGUAAUUAGCAAUGAUUAUGGGCCUGACCUCAGGUUCAAAUGAUUUAUUUUUAUUUAGACUUCGGUUGAGGCUUAUUUAAAAUUUGAUAUUUUCUGCACCUAGAUUUGGUUUAUGAUCAACUCUAUUUGUAAUCCACAUGCUCAUGCACGAACCAACUUUAACCUUGGGAUUUAUAGAUGGAAUUCAUUCUCACGAUUCGCCAACUCUUUUCGUCUUCACAAGAUCUCCUCUAGAAAAAGAAAAAAUUAUCACUCAUGGAGACUCCAACUCUAUCUCUCCUACCAUCAACCAUCACUUAGAUGCUAGUCACACCGGAUAAUAUAAGAGAUGGAUAGGGGAAGGAGCAAAAAGAGGCAACCACAUGAUUGUUCGACAAUUAAAAUCUAUUCUCAUUUGUCAUCUAGUAGCUGUUUGAAGUCCCUUUCCUAUACCUAUAUAUUCAAUUUAAAAAUUUAAGCAACAAAAUAUAUAAUGAAAGAACCUUUUAUCAUUUGAUGCGAAUGUAUGAGAAAAGAACUAGAGAAUCAAGGAAACAAUGUGCAUGAGAAAAAUAUUGGCAAACAGAGUAGAAAUAGUUGCUUUUUACUUCUCAACAGUUGAUUGAUGGAGUGAAGAGAAUGUAUUUUACUAAAUCAAUAUUUGCUUUCUUGAUAAGGGAUGGUAUUCCAGCUACACAAGUUCAUCUAAAAUAUGAAAUUGAUCAUAAGAAAGAGGCAGUGCUCGGUUUGUAUCUCAUACAACACCUAUUUAACAAAUGAGAGAUAGUAACUAUCAUUCUUUAUCUUUUAAUUGAGAUCAAGUUCUAAAGACUAGACCACAUAGUGCAUCUUCGAUCUCUCUGGGCACAGACAACAGAAAUAUCAUGCAAACAAGUUUCUCGCCCAUAUCAGACAUGCCAUGCCAACUAGCUAACCUGCCAGAAUUCACAGAAGAUUCAUCAGUGUUUCACAAAAUUAUCAUAAGAUGGCUCCCAACGAACACAAUUUUCAUGACACUUAUGAAGAACCUGAGAGGUCUGCCUACAAUACUCAUGGGACAUUGGCCAAGAUGGCCUCCGUAGGGUGUUUUAUAGUCAAAAACAACUCUGUUCCGAGCUUUUUCCAAAGGAGCGAAAGAGCCGUAGAAAGCAUGCUUAGUCCCCAACGCACAUCGUCAAAACCAUCCCACCAUCAUGAGCAGAAGUUAUAUCCCUGUAGAGUCUGUAGCUUAUUUAAAAUAGCUCGGGAAUCGGAAUCAAAAUAGGUUGAAAUGGAAACAUGAAUGUUUCUGAAUGCGUUCGAUUCGUGAUGGGAAUCGUAAUCGGAUUUGCAUACUGAGAAAGAGUUGGAAUUAGCUUUUGAAAGAUUGAAAUAUUUUCAUUCUCUUUUUUAAUUGAAUUGGAAUAAACUUUUUUCCUACGGAACGAUUGAAAUGAAAAUCACCCGUUCUCCGACCCCACAAAUCAAAUAUACCCUUAAGGGCCAGAAAGCUCUCCGGCAAUUGAAGUAUCCCCCUUGAUUUAACGAGAGACCAAACAAAACCUAACCAUUUCCAUUGCCGAGUAGACCGAACUGUCCUUUUAUUGUACCUUUUUUUAAUAUAUAUAUGGCCUUUUUUCCAACUAUAAAGUUCUUUUAAAAAAACUUUCAGGGUCUGAAUUAUAUCAUUCGUGAUUCACGUGUCAUAGGAGGGUGUUGAAUAUAUAAGUUUUCAAUUAUAUCUCUCUCGAUGAGAAAAGGAGGGAUAGAGAGGUUCGCUGGCUGUCAAAAGUAAAGGACAAGCCUUGUAACCAACCAUGAGGAUCUCAUGUUACCAAGACGACGGAAAUGCUCACCAUAAAGAUGAGAUUGAUAAACUCUUGAGUCUUGAUGAAUGCGAUGGUAAAACAAAAUUUGAUCGAUAAAUUAGAUUGCUUCUAUAGUGACCAUACGAGACACAAGAUAGGAUAUCUAGCUAUUGUGAGAAUUCAUGUGGAUGUAUAUUUAGUCCUACAUUAGUUAUUCGCUGAAUAGAUUUUGAAUAUUUAUACAGGAUUAAGGAACUCAAAUAAUACCUUUGAGUUAGCCAUUUUGGGUGAGGUCUUAGGUUGUUACAAAUAGUAUUAGAGCGGAUCCAGCUUAUAACCUAUGUGGAUUCGAGGACACUGCAGCAUGAUUCUAUUGGGGUUGACCACGGGCCAAUCGUGGUGUUUAUAAUUAGAUUUGAAUGAAUUUAAACUCUUAGCCUAACGAGAACGUCGGAGCUUAAAACGGAGAGAGUAUGCAAGGACCCAUGUGAGCAUGUGUUUAAUCUCACAUUGGUCAUUCGCUGGAUAGAUUUUGGGUACUUAUACAGGAUCAAAAAAUCCAAAAAAAUAUAUUUGAGCUAGUCAUUUUGAGUGAGAUCCUGAAUUGUUACAACUGUGUUGUAUAAAUUAAAAUUAAUAUAUAUAUAUAGAGAGUGUGUGUUCUCUUAUUUUUUUUCUUCUCUCUCUAUUAUAUAUACAUACAUACAUACAUACAUAUAUAAAUGUUAGGUUGACAGCGAUUAUUUACAUGGGUUGUCACAUCUUGCACCUAAUGUUUCAACAAAAGACGAAGACUUUGCGGUAAAUAGAUCAUCCUGGAUCUACGAGAUCAUGACAGGGCAACAAACAGUAAUUCCAUGCGAGGACGUUCCAUUUUGUAUCAUAAAACUACUUAUAUCAACUAACAAAACGGCCCACAAAUUUCGCUCUCCCCUACCAAAUACUUCGCCAACUUGCAAUAUAUUACUGUACGUAUUUGGUCCAUCCAAGUCAGCAUGGGCCAUCAGAAAACGGAUUUUAGGGACGUAGCAUCAUCUCUCUUCCUUCGUUGCAGGAGACGAAAAGGAAGUUGGGACACGGGUAUCAACAUCUGAUGGGCUCCUUUCACCUGCAUGAGUAUCUUCAACUCAUUGGAUUUGGCACGGGUGGCCCAGGGCUCUCCAUGCCACGUCAUUCUCAAUCUCAUUGGUGCACAAAUCCUAUUGGAUAAGCAUUUGCUGCAACACGCUGGCUCAGUUGUUUGGAUGCCACGAAAGUAUCAGAUCUACUUGCCACACAGCUAGAUUUAAAUGACUGGCGCUCGCUGACCCCUCCUGCACCAAGUUGUACGCCGGCAAUGCUGCAUGAAGUCACGCAUCAUCCCAAAACUUCAAAGCAUUCCAUGUAAUUUGAUCCAAGAACUCGUUUAGUUGGCGAAAAGAAUUUUUUCUUGCCGAAAUAUUUUUUUUUAAGAAGAUUAUUUCUGAGAAUAUGAUGCUUGAGAAAAUAGUUUGGACUUGUUUAGUUGAUUUUAAAAAAGUGGCACAUUAUAAAGUAGCUUAUGUUGAGUUGAGCAUCUAUUUUCAUAGAAAAAUUAUAUGAAAUACCUAUUAUAUCAUUAUUAUAAAAAAAAAUCUUACUUAUGGGUUUGAUGGCUUAAGAGUACUUUUGGGGGGAAAAAACAGACUACAAUUUCCAACCAAUGGAAAAGUGGCUUUUCCAUAUCCUCUAUGAUUUUUUUUUCUCAUGAAAUAUAAGAUAUUAUUUCUAUGGAACUGCUACUUUUCUAUUUUUCUCUUUUAAAAACUCCAAUUGAACAACUGGUAUAUUUUUCUUUUUUCGUUGACCAUAUUUUUCUCCCUUUUUUUUCUCGAAAAUCAAAAGAGUCUUAAGAAACAAUGAGCCUUAUUAACUCAUAAUUAUAUUGGUUCGUGUGCUCUAGAAUGGCACGGGUUUAAAUACGAUCACAAACAGUCGCUGUAUCAUCUAUUUCAUGGAUGGAUGACUCUAAUUUGUUUGUGGAAUAUAAUGAGGCACCAUUAGUAUAAUACAUGACACGCCGCAGUGAUAGAUGAGAACUAAAAUAUAGUGAGGUACCUUUAGUUCAAUACAUAAUGUGUCACGAUGAUAAAUAAAAAGAUGUUUAUCUUAGAUGAUGUAAUGGCUGUAUAUAAUACCAUACUUUUUGGUACGAAAAUUGGCGGUUUGAGAAUGGCGCAUCCAUGUAUCGCUCCUUGCUGUAUUUAAAUUUGUCAUCCAUGGUCCAUGGACACGAAUGGAUAAGAUUGGCUAUAUAUUUUAUACAUGGGGAAAAUGGAGGGGCCACGUCGGUUGGUGGACUUUUGCGACUGCCUUGACGACCGGUAGCCAAAUAAUAGCGACCCUUUUCCUGGAAUUAGAAUAACGUGGUGGGACCCUCGGGCCACCUUAUUUAGGUGGCGGCCUCAUCUCACCUUAUUCACGUGUCAAAACUCAGAAUGCCAAGCCUUGGCAUGGUUUCCUUACGAAAUAAAAUAUAAAAUAUUGAGAAAAAAAAGUAUGAGAGAAAAAAAAAUUAUAUUUUUACUUAUUUUUAUAAUAUAUAGAAGCAACUUUUAUAUAGCACUAACAUACUGAUGAAGGUUGGUAAAGCUGACUAUUUUUAGCAUAAUCAAUCACAAAUCAAUUAAGGUGAAGUUUGGUAAAGCUGACUAAAUUUGGCAUAAUCAGUUUUUAUAGAGGCUGGCUAUAUUUGGUAUAAUUAAUUACAAAUCAAUCCAUAAUUUUGUAAUAAUUCUAACGUAAAAUAAAAGUUGAGAAAAUGAGAUGCCUCAUUAAGUAUUAUGUUGUGAGGCGCCCUUUUAUCCUACCGUGAGCCGUGAGGGAGAAAAUUAAUUGUUUAUAUAGUUUUUUUAUUUGAUACAAUCAAGACCCACAUUAAUUUUAUAUAAGUACAGCCAACAGUGCUUUAAAAAAAUUGAUAAAAAAAAUAAACUCUUGAUUUUUUUUAAAAAAUUUUUUAAAUGUUGUGCAGCAAAGAAGGCGAGCCAACCAAUAACCCUAUUUGUUGCUAGAUAAGGGCUUUAUUAAAGCAUAGUGUUUCGAGUUUCAAUGGAAGUCGACGGAUGGAAAAUUAGAGAUAGCUUAGCAACAUAUGAAUAAACAUGUUGAAUAUUUUACAAAAAAUAAUGUUAUACAGCACAUUGCCUUUUUCAGGUGUUUGUUAGAUAUAUUAUUCUAAUAUUUUAAGUAAAUAGGUAAUGAAGACAUUCCAAGGUUAAAUCUAACAAUUUAUUUUAGAUUUUGGUUGUACCCUGUGAAUUAUAACAAUUAAGAGCUUCACUUAAAAAGACUAACAAAAAAAUAUUAUUUAAAUUUUUUAGUCCUAUAUAAAUAUCCAAAACUUAUUAUCACCAAUGUGGGAUUAAAUGCACACUUAUAUAGAUCAUCACAUAUUCCUUUGUUUAAGCUAUAGUGUCCUCGACGGACUGAAAAUUAAAAUCAAAUCCAAUCAAAGUAUCACUAUCAAAUCCAAAUAUAAUCAAAUCCUAUCAUUAAUCAUAAAUAUCAUUAGACCCAUGUUGUAGUGUCUUCUAAUCCACAUAAAUUAUGGACUAAGUUUGCUCUGAUACUAUUUGUAACGAUCUAAGAUUUCGUUCAAAAAAAACUAACCAAAAAAUAUUAAUUUUUUGGUGUUAUAUAAAUAUUGAAGAUCUAUUCGGUGUUUGAUACUAAGUAUAUGUCUUUGCAAACACUCAAAUGAAUUAAAAAAAGCAAAGUUAUAAUUAAUAAAUAUUUUUUAUAUAAAGAAAUGUUAUUAUCUUCUUAUUUUUUUAAAAAUAAUUGAAAAGUAGAAGAGGAUCUGACUUGCCAAUUGAAUGACUUUUUUUAUAUCUAAAAAAAGAUUAUAAUUUGUCCAUCACAAAGCACUUCAUAGCAUCAAUCUGUGGACCAACCAAAGAUAUUAAAGUUGGCCGCUAAUUUCCGUAUAACGAGUGGAAUGGCUGUAUUCCUUUUCCUUGUUUAGAGCAAAGAACUUACAUGCCAUGCCACGCAUAAAACAAUGAAUAUUUGAAAAGGACAAUAGGUAAACUCUUUUUGCUGAGCCUUUGCUUUAAUAUGGAGCAUCACACAUUACUGCAGUUUUUUAAUGGCUUAAAUUCCAACAGUUGAUCCAGUCUAACAAAAUAAACACUUGUAGUCUUUUUAUAGAGAAAGGAAAGGAAACCUAAUUGUAUUAUAACUAUCUAGACUUGAAGCUUAGGAAUGCAUCUAUUAAUAUCCGAAUUCUGAAUGCUAAAAAAUACAAGUCUUUUAAGAGAACAAAAUCAUUUCAUCAUUAUCUACUUGAUACAAAAUAAACAAAAUGUAACAUGCUAUCAUGCUUUCAUAUCCUCCAUUAUUUUCGCUAUCACUAAUAUUACUUUAUCACAAACUCACGGUUAAAAAGUAGAUACUGUCGGAAGAAAAAUCGGCACAGGAUAAUCAAUCUACAUGGCAUCUUUUUUCUAUUAGUUAUUAUAAGAUUGUAAUAAUCUUUCUCAUCUAAUGUUGUGACACCUUCGUCACUGUUAAAUCCCUACACCUAACCACUGUCCCUUUACAACUAACUCCAUGCUUACCGGUUGUUAAUGCCGCCACCUACUACAACCGCUUAAUCUCUCCAUUAUUACUAAUCUCCACAUUGUUGGAACAUGGACCGGUAAACUCUCCGACCGGCGAAGGGGGUUGGAGAUCUAGUGACGGAGAGAAGAACACCGCGAACUCGUUUUGCAGACUUGAGGCAGAGCAGGGUAGGAUUGAGGCAUCUAGCAUCGAGCACUGCUGGCUUGGGAAGAAAGGUAAUGUCUGAGCUCAUCUUUUUUUUAUGCUAGGCUAUGAUACCAUAUUGAAAAAGAAUAAUAAGAGAAAAGAAUUGUAUUUCUAUCUGUCGUUACAAUAUUAGGACCAACCUUUAUAUAGUAGUAGGAGGCUGACAAAAUUUGGUAAGACUAACUAAAUUCGACAUAAUUAAUCAUAAAUUAAUCUAGAUGAAAUUUGGUAAGUCUGAUUAAGUUUGACACAAAUAAUAUUUAUGGAAGCCGGUUAUAUUUGGCAUAAUUAAUGAUCGUACAAUAAUUCUAAUGGAUAUGAUGGUACGAUUGCGAUUUUCCAUUUUUCUAUUUGUUGUUUGAUUUUAGUGCCAACGACGCAACUUUCAUCUGCCACGUCGAGUUACAUCGGAUAUGGAAUAUUUUAAUACGGUGCGUGCUCCGCGAGUCAGUGCAACACUGCAACCGAGGGCAGGGCGCGUGAUCCGCCGGUGGAUUCAUCGGGUUGGCCCGCCGGAACCCGGAGUCCGCACUCCAUUCGCGCCAGCUCAGCACGACGUCACCCGCCGUGAGGAUCGGAUUCGGGUCGAUGGACACCGGAUCCGAAACCCACCAUGACGUAUCGGAUCCGGGCGAGGCGAUUAUCCGCGAGCGCAGAUUCCUCGGCACGGGCACUCGGGUUAGGUGUUUUCUGGUGGCUUCGAUCAUGGAUGGGUCUUCGUCGUGGAAAGCUUUUGACGCUGGCCGAAAUCAGAGCCGUCCAUCGCGUUGAGGGUCGGUUCUCGUGGGGGCUCGAGGUUGAAACGUUUUGCGCGCCAUGGAUAGUCCAAGGGCCAAAACGCCAAAUGUCCUUUUUGGAAAAGAAAAAAGUUUUCACAGUAAAGCCAAAACCAAUGUAAUAAAAAGGAAAUCAAAGAAGCCAGGAAAAAGUUAAAUACCAAGUUUUGAAGUGGUGUUCCACUAUGUUAUGAAGUCAAGACUUCGUCCUAUAACUUGCAUUACAGCUGAAACUUAAAAAAGAACAUGCAUGCAUUAUGGUAUGUGCAGGGUUGGCACACAUUGACAAAUGUUGAUGUAAAUUUGGUGACAAAAAUAAUUGAAAAUUCUUGGUGGCAUACAUUAUCUAAUAUGUUUUCACAUGGUAUUAGUUUGUAGGAAAUCAAUGUCAAUUGAUGUUGAAUUUAAUGAGAUCAAUUACAAUUUUGAUGUGCUGUUAUUAAUAUUGUUGUUGUUGUAGAUGAAAGAUGUGCAUUAUAAUGUCAAAUGACAUGGUACCAAUAAGUGUGUGGUAGAAACCAAAUCCAAAAACUGGAAGCUUUCACUUGAAAAAUAGAAUUCUUUUGUAUUAUGUUUUGUUUUUUAAAUAGCAAAUUGAUGAUAUUAAAAUGAAUAAUACUGACAUCAAAAAUCGAUCAGAAUAUCUUUGUAAUAUACUGCUUUUUGGAUAAUGAUACCUCAAUCCAAACUCCACCGAUUGAAAGUUCUCACGGUCGUAUCAGGUGAGCUCAAAAUGUGCCGUGUCAAAUACUAUAAACUAAACAUAAAAAACGGCGCAAAUAGCGCACUGCCUAUGCACAGCUUGGAAUGUGUUAAAAGAAAAAAAAAAGGAAAGAAAGGCUGUUUUCUUGGCUUUUAAUAUGGUUCAAAGGAAGGAUAGCGUAUUUUGGGACUUAAAUGGCCAUUUAAUCUCAAAUUCUUUACUGGAGAAAAAAAAACAAACUAUGAUCUUCCUUGAUAUAUCUUACGUGCAUUUGGCAAUGCUUUACUAACACAAUUUCUCAGGUGUUUGUUGUGAGUACCCUUUUGAACCAUUUCAGAUGCUACUAUGAAAUACUCACUUAUCCUUAAUACAAUUACAAUUUAAUGUUUAUGUUUUUGAGAAGAAAAUAGAAAAUAUCCAAAAAUAAUUGCCUAGAUCGUAGAUCGAGGUGAAGUUCGAAUAAAAUCAAGGUCUUAUAUCCAGGCCCAAGAUGCAUUAUAAACUGAGCCAGUGAGUACCCUUCGUUAUAUUUUGUCUACCCUUUUAAUCACUAAAAUAUAAUUAUAUGUCCGUAAACUAUAUUUUAUAAUUCAUGUGUGUUUGGUAGUUCUUCAUUGACCAACUUUUCAAUUGUUCUUUGUGAGCACCUCUUUUUAACCAUUAGAUGGUGUUGCGGGGACGGACGCUUUGGCCGGAGCCUCACGCAACAGCUUUGGCCAGAGCCUCACGCAACAGUUAACCCACAUUAAGCUAGCAAAGAAAGAGGACUGCGUUCCUCUCGAGGUAUUGUCCGCUUUGGGCGCUCCGGCCCGUGCGUCCAGCGCAGACGGGGGGAGACUGGUGCCCUCACGGUUUUGUCCCAUAAAAGGGCCCUCGAGAGGAAAGGAUUUCCAUCCUCCAUUUAAAGCACAGAACCUUUCCGCUACUAGCCGAUGUGGGACUAAAUACAAGGCCNNNNNNNNNNAUACAAGGCCCUCUCCCCUCCACAACAUAGCCCCCAGGCGGGAAGGUCCUGUGCCAGUUUAACCCGGUUUUACCAGCCCCCCAAGCAACCUGAGGGGUAGUCAAUGGAAAGAGGAGGCGCACCUUUCUUCUAGCGCCAUCUGUCGCGGGGACGGACGCUUUAGCUGCAGACGGGGGGAGACUGGUGCCCUCACAGUUUUGUUCCAUGAUAGGGCCCUCGAGAGGAAAGGAUUUCCAUCCCCAUUUAAGGCACAGAACCUUUCCGCUACCAGCCGAUGUGGGACUAAAUUCAAGGCCCUCUCCCUCUCCACAGCGGAUGGUACUAUGACAUACCCACUUAUCCUUAAUACAUUUCAAUUUGAUAUUUAUAUUUUUCAAGAACAAAUAUCUAAAAAUAAUUCAGAUAGAUUAUAAAAAUUAGGUGAAGUUGGAAUUUAAAUCAAAGUCUUAUGUCUAACACCAAGAUGCUUUAUAAACUUAGCCAGUUAGCACUUCAAGUUAUAUUUUGUAUACCUCCUAAUUACUAAAAUAUAAUUAUAUAUUUGUAAACAAGUUUUAUAAUAGAAUGGUCGCUACAACAAAAAUAUACGCUUUUUUUUGAAUGUUUUGGCUGGAUUUCUUUAAGUACUUCUUGCCGAAGAUAUACGCUUUUUUUUUUUCUUAUCCUCAGCGGAUAAAAAAAUUUCUAAGAGAAGUAAUUAAAAAAAGUGUAUAUUUUCGGCAAUAGGUAAUUAAAGAAACCCAGCCAAAACAUCCGCACUGGAAGCUUUUAAAUUUUUUAAAACGGAAAAAACGCUAUAAAACGAAAUUUGCUAUAAAUACACUCCAUCAUUAUAAAAGAUAACCACCCUCUCUCGAUCUCGUCGAUUCAGUGGAUUGGGAGGAAUGGAGAAAGAGGGGGUGUAAUUUUGUAAAAUAGGGAAGCUCGUUAUUGAAUGCUGACAGCGAGGAUGGAAAACCGACAGCGCUGGCCCCGGCCGAGCGCGGUAGGAGAAAACGAGGGGAGAACAGUGCGACACCUACCCAAGCUAAUGGUGGGAUCAACCUUCGGGUAUAAAAUGGGGCUCAGGGGGGAUCGCUCCCUUCAUCCCUCGCCCCAAGCAUCGUUCACUCCGUUCUCUUGUUCCAUUCUCUGUUGCGUUGUUUCGUUUGUUUUUCGUUUCACUCUUCCUCCUUCUUCUGCUUUCUCUCUGGGGGGGCGCCAUUGGGGGAUCGAGGUAAGGGUGUCUCUGUCUGCUUGAAGUGUUGGUCUUUUGGGCUUCGGGUGUCGAGUAGUUUUAUGCGAUUACGGGGGAGUUGCUGUCCGAUUUCCACGAAAAAACGCUGUGCUUUUUUUUCUUUCUGUUCCAAGCUGGUGAAAAAUUUCGACUUUCUCUGCUGCUGAUUUUGUUUGCAUGGAAAAGAUCGGUUACUUUCGAGUUUUUUUGGUUCGGUUGCCGAAAAACGGUUUGUUUUAAUCUCUGGUCUGGUGAAAGUUCGAGUUUCUCUCGUGCUGAUCUUGUUUGCAUGUGAAAGAGACGUUCUUUUGGAGUAGUUUGGUUGGGUUGCGGCGGAACAUCUCCGUUUUUUCCUUCUCGUCUUGUGUCUUUUGUGCCGAUCUUUGUUUGCAUGGAGAAGAGCGGUUCCUUUUCGAGUAUUUAGCUUGGCUCGAUUUCGGCGAAGAAACUCGGUGGUUUUCCAAAAUCUGGUGAAAUAUUCGACUCUCUUUCUCGCUGAAUGCUUGAUCUUGUUUGCAUGAAAUAGAGAGCUGUUCUUUUCUGGUAGUUUUGGUUCGAUUGCGGCAAAAGCUCUGUUUCUUUCUCUAAUCUGGUGAAAUAUUUUGAGUGUCUCCCGUAGCGACCUUGUCCGCAUGGAAAAGAAGCAUCUUUUCCUUUUGUUCUUUUUCUUUUUUCUUCUGAUCUGGGGAAACAUUUCGACUUUCUUCCGUACUGCAUACUUAUCCUGUUUGUAUGGGAUGGAACUCUUCUUGUUGGAGUAGUUUGGUUCGAUCACGGCCAAACACACUGUUUUUUCUCCAAAAUCUGGUAAAAAAUUCCGAGUUUAUCGAGAAUGGAUCACGUUUGCGUGGAACAAAGAGCUGUCCUUUUGUUUUUUGGGAACUUAUUUGGUUUUUGUUUCAGUCGGGUUGUGUGGUAGAUCGCAAGCAGGGAUUUUUUUUUUAGUGGGAAAACUUCUAUCCUUUUGCUAGAAGAACAGAGUAGUUUUCCUUCAAGCAUGGCAUAAACUUGAAAAAAUAUGCGCUAAAAUAUCGGAGUUCCGUGGUCGAUUGCAGGACAUGCUUUUCUUUCAACAAAUCGAGUAGCUUUGGUUGACCGUUGCAGAGUUGCUGAAAAAUUUUAACUGUCGUCCCAUUUCAAAGCAGAAAUCUUCUAAGAGCAUUAACGUUUUGCUACAAAAUAUAUUCUUUUCCACAAACUUCUUUUGGCUUUUAUCAGAUUUAAGUUCUCUAGUAGAAGGUAAGCAGAGAUCUUCUGAGGAACUUGUAAAGUUUCUGCAAAAUAUUAUAAUUUGGUGGGAGAUCUGAGUUCUUGUUGAUUAUUUAUCCUUCUCUUCAAACUUCCUCCGUGUCUUCUUUUAUUUGAGUUCUUCUCUUGUAAGCAGGGAUCUUUUCCUUUAUUUCCCCAAAACUGUAACUUUUCGGUAUGGGAAACUGAACUAUUUUGUCAAAGUUAAAAUCAUAUUCUUGCUCUCAAUUUACGUUGUGAGCAGCUACAAUUUCUUCUUCUUCUUCUUCUUCACCUCUUUUCAUUGUGAACUGCUGUAUGUUUUCAUAAAAAAGUUUUAAGUUUCUGCAAUUUAUUAUUAAAAAAAAUCUAAGUUUCUACAACUUUAAAUUUCUUGUAUCGUGGAGGCAGAGGCUUUUUCCUUUUAUUUUCCUAAAUAUUUAUCCUUUUUCCUUUUCCAAAUAUCCCAUAAGUUCUUUAAAUAAAAAAGCCUUUUUAAAAGUUCAGCUAAGCCCGCUCCUCACGUCGCCGUCUUGGUCUCCAGUGGAUAAGUAUGCAAGUUUCCUCUGUUUUGUAUUCUCUCUUAUCAAUUACAGUUCAAAAAAGUCAUAUUUUUGUCGCCUUGAAAGCCUUUUCCAUGGAGACCCGGAGAAAGCAAAGAACUUUUUAUACCUUUUAAUUUUGAAGCUUUAGUUUCUCUCAAGUUUCGAAUGCGGUACAGCUUGUUUGCGUCGGAAAAACAGAUCUCUCUUCAAAAAACGCUGUUUGGCAUUGGCCACCGUCCCUUCCUUGCCCUAUCUGACCUUUAUUCCUGUUGUUUUCUAGAACCAACCUCUUGUUAGUAUUCAUUUGUACUGACGACAUUGUCGGCAUUAGUGAGAGAAGAAGAGGAGAUCCAUCUUAACUAGAAUUUAAUUUCCCUGCUCGUAUGGUUUUUAACUUUACCAUCCAUCUCUCUUCUAGAUUUAUUCUUCUUCUGAGAUCUGUACUCUUCUCUGCUUGUGGACUUGGCAUUAACCUUGGUUUUUCUCAUUUUUUAACGUAAUUUUUCCUUUCGAUUUAUUAAAGUUAAGCAUUUGUCUUCCAUCCUUUUUUUCUCCCUUCUUGGAAUCCCUUUCUAUUGUCUGUUUUAAUUCUCAUUCAAAUUUGCAUUAUCUCUUUUAUUUUUAAGUCAUGAUGGUCAAUUUUUCAAGUUUGGUAUGUCUUUGGUGCUUUAUUGUCAAAAAUUUUAGGUGGGCGGGGUGGGAGAUCCAAGACUUGUGGGUUUCUAGAUGGUCUUCUUCAUUGUCUUUGUUUUGUUUCCGAUUGUUUCUUAUUGGUUUUGGUUGCUAAUUUUCUUAUUUCUGAUGUUAGUCUGAGGCUUCUUUGAGGCUCGAAGGGGAAAACAAGAGGAGCCAUGGCGAGCCCUACAUUAAGUCGCAUUCACAGUGUGAGGGAGCGCCUUGGGGACACCCUAUCCGCCCAUCCGAAUGAAUUGGUGGCCCUCUUCUCAAGGUUGUCUCUAUCUCCCUUUGUGUUCUAUAGAAAAUGUUUUUGCUUCAGUUAUUUCUUGUGAGGUUGGAUUACAUUUAACCUUGAUGGAUAUUAAGUUUAUGCAUGCAUGCUCAAGCUGUUGUAGAGACCUAGAUUUCCAGGCUUUUAAUAUUUGAAUCCGAAGAGCAGUGAACUUGUCACCCAGUUGCUUAUCUUCAUUUCCAAAAGUUAUGUCAUGGCUUCCUGGUUUCACAACCUCAAUCAUUUACAGCAUGGACUACCCUCCAAAAUUUUCUGAAAUCUUUUUGAUUGCAUGGUUCAUCCUGGAUCACUCAAAACACGAUGCUUUUCUUGUGAUAUUUGUCAGGUUAUGAGGAUCUCUGAUGGGUUAUCUGAUUGUUCUUUUCUUUGCAGGUUUGUUAACCAGGGAAAAGGAAUGUUGUUACCUCAUCAGUUGUUAGCUGAGUAUGAAGCUGUAAUACCCGAAGCGGAUAGAGAAAAGCUGAAGGAUGGGGUUUUUGAGGAUGUUCUGAAAGCUGCACAGGUGCAGUGCAGUUGGAUCCUACUACGCCACAUUAUUGUUAACUUCUGAGAUUUGGUUCUUCGUUAUAUCGUGCAUUGCUUUUGUGAUGCAGGAAGCAAUUGUUUUGCCUCCAUGGGUUGCUCUUGCUAUUCGGCCAAGGCCUGGUGUCUGGCAGUAUGUGAGGGUGAAUGUCAGCGAGCUAGCCGUGGAAGAGUUGACUGUGCCCCAGUACUUGCAAUUCAAAGAAGAACUUGUGGAUGGAAGGUAGGUGAUAUGAAUCUAAUGGAUCAUUUUCCAUAAUUUCUCCAUGCUAAAACAGAUGCUUUUGAUUGAAGCAUCUAAUGGACAUGCAGUCAAGUAACUUAUUUUCUCUUCUUAUCCUUUCCCUCCUUCAGUAGCCAAAAUAACUUUGCGCUGGAAUUGGAUCUUGAGCCCUUUAAUGCUUCUUUCCCUCGUCCCUCACUUUCAAAGUCCAUUGGCAAUGGAGUGCAGUUCCUAAAUCGUCACCUUUCCUCAAAGUUGUUCCAUGACAAAGAAAGCAUGUACCCCCUGCUUAAUUUCCUCCGAGCACAUAACUACAAGGGGACGGUAAAUUUUCUACAACUGUGUGAUGCAUUUAUCUGUUAUCUUUCAUUUUUCCGAAGUUGAAAUUAAUGAAUCUUUCCUUUUGUAAGUUCUUUUGCCCUUUUUAGUAUUUGGAAAUUGAACACCAUACAAAGACCUGCUAUCUGAUGUGAGCAAUAACCUGAACCAGGGGAUAGGAUAUUUAGAAUUUGAUCCAAUGCAAAAGUAUUUAGGCUGAUCAAUGGAAUAUUUUACAACAAACUUCUUUUUUUCUUUUAGAUUUCAGUUGAAAGGGACGAAAUUUCCAUCUAAACUGGAUUACUGUUAUUUUUCCUAAUUAGAUACAUUUAACAGAAGUAGAUAAUAUGUGUUACCAAUCACUGAUAGGUCUUGAUGUUACUUUGCUAGCGGUUGGUUAAAUAUCAACAAAACUUUCUUACCAAUGAUUGCGAAAAAUAAAAACACCAAACACUCCAAUUUCCUGUUCAGCACUUUCAGUUUCAUCACAGGAUCAUAUUAUAUAAAUUAUCUGAGUUGUUGAAAUCUUAAUUUGUUUCUGACUAAUUAUUAGUCUAUACCAUUAUUAUUUUAUAUUUUAUAAAUCAUCAAAUUUGUCAACAAUUUUAUUUGUUUCUAACUAAUUUUAAGUUCUAUUUUAAUUUAUUGUUAUGUCAUGCAGUCUAUGAUGCUUAAUGAUAGAAUUCACAGCCUCAGUGCUCUCCGAGCUGCACUAAGGAAGGCAGACGAAUAUCUGUUGAGUAUCCCAUCAGACACCCCAUAUUCAGAAUUCAACCACAGGUAAAUUCUGUGCUAUUAUUUCCUGAGGUUUUUGAUUAAACUGAAGUAUGUUAGCCACAUAUUCUUAUACGGCGCAAAGUUUGUCAAGUUGUCACAGCUGCUUACAUUAUUUCGCAUCUGCAUGAUGCUAGAUUUCAAGAGCUUGGUUUAGACAAGGGCUGGGGUGACACAGCUCAGCGUUGUCAUGAAACUAUCCAUCUUCUCCUAGAUCUUCUGGAGGCACCUGAUCCAUGUACCUUGGAAAGCUUCCUUGGGACAGUUCCUAUGGUGUUUAAUGUUGUCAUCCUUUCUCCCCAUGGCUACUUUGCCCAAGCUAAUGUCUUGGGGUAUCCUGACACGGGUGGCCAGGUAUAACUCAAAAAUGAAAUUGAUUUAGAAACAUAUCAGAACUCACUUCUUUAACAUACUAUAAAUCCUAAUUUGCACAGGUUGUUUACAUUUUGGAUCAAGUUCGUGCUUUGGAGAAUGAGAUGCUGGAAAGAAUAAAGAAGCAAGGUCUUGAUAUCACGCCUCGCAUUCUCAUCGUAAGUUCAAUUUGACAUCUGAUGGCUUUCUUACAUUGUUCAAUGAUUAUUUCUAGUAUAAAGUUAUGAAGAAUGUCAUGGCGUCAAUGUGGUAACCAUAUGAAUGCGUCCACACUCAUAAUGGUCUUCUCCUGAGGCUACCUUGUGAUCUUUGCAGGUGACCAGAUUGCUCCCAGAUGCAGUAGGCACCACUUGUGGCCAGCGUUUUGAGAAGGUCCUUGGAACAGAGCACACCCACAUCCUCCGUGUUCCAUUUAGAACAGAGAGUGGGACGAUCCGAAAAUGGAUAUCACGUUUCGAAGUAUGGCCUUACCUGGAGACCUAUGCCGAGGUAAAUCUUUCAUCCAAUCUUUCUAAGCUUCCUCUCUGCACUUGCUUCCUUUUCAGUACAUUUCGAUAUAUUCAUUGCUGCUUUUAAGUUAUUGAAGUAAAUUUGUAAUGUUCACCUUUGUGCUGUAGGAUGUUGCACACGAACUAACGGGAGAAUUGCAAGCCAAGCCAGACCUGAUAAUUGGAAACUACAGUGAUGGAAACCUAGUAGCUUCUUUAUUGGCACAUAAACUUGGAGUUACUCAGGUUUUGAUGCUAGACAUUGUUCACCCUGGGUUCUACUUAAUAGUUGUCACUUAUUCAUCUGAAUUUAAUAAUCUUCAUUCUUCCACAUGUAGUGCACCAUUGCCCAUGCCCUGGAGAAAACAAAAUAUCCAAAUUCAGAUAUAUAUUGGAAGAAGUUUGAGAACCAGUAUCACUUCUCUUGCCAGUUCACAGCUGAUUUAAUUGCAAUGAACCAUGCAGACUUCAUCAUCACCAGUACCUUCCAAGAGAUUGCUGGAAGGUUAUUAUUCAUGCCGAUAGUGUCUCAGUGCACUGAAUUUUUGUUCAUAUUAAGAUGCAUAAAUUACUACCAUUAUCUGACUGGCUUCCUCUUAUGUUCUGUUAUUUCAGCAAGGACACUGUGGGACAGUAUGAAUCUCACACUGCCUUCACUCUGCCUGGGCUCUACCGUGUCGUGCAUGGAAUUGAUGUCUUUGAUCCAAAAUUCAACAUUGUGUCUCCCGGAGCCGACAUGUCCAUCUACUUCCCAUACACAGAGGAGCACAAAAGACUCACCUCCCUCCAUCCAGAGAUUGAGGAGCUGCUUUACAGUCCUGUUGAGAAUUCUGACCACAAGUGAGAACCUAUCUGUAUCACCUGCUUCUCUUUUGCUAUGUUAUUGUUCAAUUCAGUUACCGACUCUGAGGUUCUUGCAGGUUUGUUUUGAAGGACAGAAGCAAACCCGUUAUCUUCUCAAUGGCAAGGCUGGACCGAGUGAAGAACAUAACUGGUCUUGUUGAGUUGUAUGGCAGGAAUCCCCGUUUGAGGGAACUGGUCAACCUCGUGGUGGUGGCUGGAGACCAUGGAAAAGAAUCCAAAGAUCUUGAAGAACAAGCAGAGAUGAAGAAGAUGUACAGUCUCAUUGAACAGUACAAAUUGGAUGGUCACAUCCGAUGGAUCUCUGCUCAGAUGAACCGGGUCCGCAAUGGUGAGCUUUAUCGGUAUAUUUGUGAUACCAAAGGAGCUUUCGUGCAGGUAUUCUAAUCUUCUUAAAAGCAAAUAUUAUGAUGCCUCUGUUAACUUUUGAUAGAAUAUUACCAGGUAGAUGACAAUUUUACUCACUUUUUUCCCCUUUGUUUUCCUUUGCUUAGCCUGCCUUCUAUGAAGCUUUUGGGCUUACUGUUGUUGAAUCCAUGACAUGUGGACUGCCCACAUUUGCGACUUGUCAUGGAGGACCUGCGGAGAUUAUAGUGCAUGGGGUUUCUGGCUUCCACAUUGAUCCUUACCAGGGAGACAAGGCUUCUGAACUGCUUGUCAAUUUCUUUGAGAAGUGCAAGGAAGACCCAACCUACUGGACCAAAAUCUCACUAGGAGGGCUGCAGCGUAUCGAAGAGAAGUAGGCAUAAUGUUUUCUUAGCAACACUCUUUUAUGAAUUCAUGGAUCUUGUAUGGAAGAUUCAAGAUUUAAUCUCUUUAUUGUGUGCUCUUCUUUUGAAUCAAUGCAGGUACACUUGGAAGCUCUAUUCUGAGAGGUUGAUGACCUUAUCGGGUGUUUAUGGCUUCUGGAAGUAUGUCUCCAAUCUGGAUAGGCGUGAGACCCGUCGUUACCUCGAGAUGUUCUAUGCCCUCAAGUACCGUAACUUGGUAAGUGACAUUCAUUGAUGAGUCUACUUGAUGCUUGAGAGACUUGCUGUGUUCUCCUCUGACUAAUUAUCUGCUUUCUUUCAAUCUCUAAUUUCAGGCAAAGUCUGUUCCUCUGCAUGUUGAUGGAGAGGUUGCAGCCAAUGGCACCAAGUAGUCUGGAUAGGAGGCAAGCAAGAGUUCUGUGUUCCAUUUGUUUUGAUUUUAGAGAUUUGUGAGGGAAGCUUUUGCUUUAUAAAUUCUUGUUCGUGUCAUUGAUAUUGACAGCUGAUUUUGGAGCAAAUUCAGAAGUGUCAGUGCUUGCUCUUUAAUUUUCAUGUUAUGUAUGAGUCAUAGUUGCCAUUGGAUUCUCCAUAAAAUUAGUACUGUUUCCUUUCUUAAAAAUUGAAAACUUGGAGAAAAAUGUGAAUCAACUUUGAUCCAUCAUGCCACAGAGUGUUGUGGAUGGCGUUAUUUCCAGACUAUGUGCAAUUAAGUCAGCAUUUUGUGAAUUUUGGUUCAUGUCUACUUCUAAGUAAUGUGUUUGCUGAUUAAUUGGCUAGAACUGGAAAGGUUUGCGGUAUAGGUUGCCAUCAUACCUUAGAGAGCAAUAGAGGUGAUGCAAGUGAUGGAAAGCCAAAGUUUAUUGGUCGAUACUGUAAUUAAUAUUACCUAAUACUCAGUUUCUAGAGGGAUACUACCUUGGGAAAAUGAAGAUGUUCUAGUUAAACGUUUUAGAAUUUUGUGGGAUAUUUGUCUUAUUUGACCUGUCCAUUGAUAUCAAACCAUGAGAUAUGAUUCCCUUUUUCUUCUUUUUUUUUGCCGCCUUUACAAUUCUGCAGUCUUAUCUGAUUCCUUUUCCUUUUCCUCAGAAUUCUGUAAUGAUCACAUAAAUAUCAGAUCUCAUUGUAAAGUUGCGCUGGGUGUGAUACUUCUGCACUUGUUUCAUACUGCAAACAUCUGCACUUGUUUAUGGCACCAAGUGUAUUUUUUUUUUCUCCAGAAAUUCUAUUUAAGUUUCUGCAAAUGAUUAGGAAAAAACUGAACUUUCCCUGUAUUUGUGUAAUAACCCAGGACCUCAUCCAAAAUGGCUAGUCGGAAGGUAUUAUUUGGGUUCCUUAAUUCUGUAUAAGUACCCAAGAUCUACCCAGCGAAUAACCGAUGUGGGACUAAACACACGCCCGCAUGGAUCCUUAUAUACUCCACCCGUUCAAGCCCUGACGUCCUCGUCAGGCUAAGGGUUCAAAUCUAAUCACAAACAUCACAAUUGGCCCGUGGUCAGCCCCAAUGGAUCCGUGCUGCAGUGUCCUCUAGUACAUAUAGGUUAUGGGCCGGGUCCGCUCUGAUACCAUUUGUAACAACCCAGGACCUUACCCAAAAAUGGCUAGCCGGAAGUUAUUAUUUGGGUUCCUUAAUUNNNNNNNNNNNNNNNNNNNNNAUGGUUAAAAGAAACAGCCCUGUUAUGGAAGUUUAGCUCGGACACAUCUACACUUAUCAAGACAUGGAGUUUGUUCUUUUUUUCUAUUAUAUAGAUUGCUUUUGCGAGUUCUCUGGUACAGUGCAAUCAGAGAGUUCUAUUUUCACUUUCCUAUGAAAGUUCCUUCUUUUAUUCCCCCUACUGAAAACCUUGUGAUUUCUUGAAAAAUAUUAGCCUUUCUUUUCUCUGAUGUUAGUCUUCCCCCCCUUACCUACAUCACCGACUUGUUCUAAUGAGACAAGCAUACAAUUUUUCUGUGAUAUUUUUCUAUUAUCCAAUGGAAUAUAGCUUAAAGAAGUUCAGUUUUGUUUUUUCUUCUCCUUUAAUCUUUUACCUAAUAGCUUCCAAGACUAGGAAGUAUUUUAAUUUUCAGUCUGGAAGCAUUUCAAAUGCAUCGUAACCAUUUCGUGUUGGAGAAAGUGCUCUCUGUUCACAAAAUUUGGCACCUUCUUACCCCCAACUUCUAUUGUUUUAUUUAACCAACCUCUCAGUAUUAAUCUUCCCUCGGAAAAACCUAAUCUCAUAGAAUUAAUGAGUAACAACUUGUUGUUGUUUACCUUGCAAGAUUGAUAAAUGAAAAAGGAUUUUAGUAUUAUUUGAUUCAGCAUAUCCCAUAUCUUUAGAGAGAGAUUAUUACCUUUAGGUAGGGGUAUUUAGUUGCCCAUAGGGGUGCAAAUGAGCUGAGCUGAGUAGCCGGUUGCUUGGACUUGACUAAUUUAAUAAAAGAGUUGCCUGCGCUUGGCUCGACUUGAACAAGAUCUGAGUGAAGCUUCUUACUGAGCUAGCUCGAGCUUCUAUAUAUUUUCACAUUUUUUUUUUAAUUCAGGAACGAUUCAUUUGUGCGACGAGUUCUAAACUUUGUUUCAACUUGUUGAUUUAGUAAUCUGAGCCUAAUCUGAGCUGGCCAUGAGUGGUUUGGACCCAUAGCCUUAGCUGCCCAAAAGUGGCUGAAGUUGAAGUGGAUCACUUUGAGCAACUUUAAACCCUCCUCCAAUGUCAUUGAGAUGUGUUCAUAGUUAUGAUUCACUGAACCAAGGAGAAGUUCUACUUGGACAUCAAAUUGUACUUUGGUGGUUACAUUGCGCAAACCUUAGUUGCCAAAAUCAGAAGUAUGAGUACAGAUAUGUGGAAGCAGCUAAUUAGAAAACUUGAAGUUAAGUGCUUAGAAAGUGAUUGCGCAAGCUUGAGAUUUUAGAAAGUUUAAUGGAAGAUUCUUGCUGUCGAGGAGCAACCAAAUAGCCCGAAGUAGCCACUUCAAGGGAAGGCUUUUGAGUGCCCAUUUUCGGGCAACCAAACAACUCUUAAUUGAAGUCCCAGGUUAUUAAAGAUUCCAUGCCAACUCCUUUCUAUUGUAAGUAAUCUGAUACUCCCAUUUUGGAAUCCUAGUGCUUUCAAGAGUCCAGUAUGUCUCUAAAAGUCUUUGUUGGGUUGGCAUUUGGAGCUUGAUAUUUUUCUUGUAGUGGCUUGAGGUGACAAUUUAUGGUUAGAUCCAUUGGCCUAGUUUCCUUUGAGCGGGCUUGUGUUUGGCAUAAAUAGAUUCGAGUAAUAAACUGGUCAACCCAUCUAAGCCUAUUUUUUGAUCGGAUUUAUGUUUAAACCUUUGACCCAUUAACUCCUUUUGACUUGUUCAAUAAUUGGGUAAAGUCAUAACUCGACCCGUUUAAGACUCAUUUAAUCUAUUUAGAAUCUACUUAAGUCAUUUCUAUCCUAUUUAACACAACCUACUUAACCUAGUUACUCAUUUAAAUACAUUUAACCUAUUAAAAAUCUACUUAAUCUGUUUAAUCUAUUUAAACUGAUCCAAACUACUUAGCAAUAAUUUAUAUGGAUUGGAUCGGAUUACCUGUUUAAUAAACAAGUUAAGAUCAUAUGUGGAUUUCUAACUUGCUUAAUAAACAAGUUAGGUGUAGAUUAACAAAUUUUUAACUCGAUCUAUAUCUGACUCAAUUCGAAUAUAACCCGAUCCAACCGGAUGCCCAAUUGGUUGAGGUGGUGAGAAGGCCCUGAUGUUUGUAUUUCAGAAUUUGACAAUGCAUUGUUUUUUUUUUUUUAACGGCAACUUUCUAUUACUUAUCAUUUAUACGAAGGACUAGUUUGUUUCACGAGAAGAAUUUUUUUUCAUUGAAAUAUUUUAGUUAAUUAUGAAAAAGUGACAUAUUUCAAAGUGACUUAUGUUUGGUUGGGCAUCCAUUUUGUCUGAAAAACUUAUGUGAAAUAUCUAUUAUACCCUUAAUAAAAAGAAAGAUUUUAUCUAUAAAUUUUGAUGGCUUGAAAAUAGUUUUUUAACAAAAAAAACUCUAAUUCCUAAUUGGUGAAAAAAUAGUUUUUUCAUAUUUUCAUUAUUUUUUAAUAAAAUAUAAAAAAAUUAUUUUUAUGAAAAUACUACUUUUCCGCCUAUCAUUUGAAAACUCCAACAAAGAUAUUUUUUAAUUUUUCGUUGACCCCAUUUUCGCCAUCUUUUCUCGGUGCCGGAAGAUUUUCUAUCUCACGUCAUUGAGACGGUGGGCGACGGAUGGUCACAGCCUGUAGAGUAGAGUUCUCGUAACUCGUAGAAGAUGUUGGGUAUGGCUACAUUUCUACAUGCGAAGAUACCGUAUAUCCCGUCCCCUCGGUCGGUCACGUGGACGGCACGUGCAUAAGAUGACGCAGCACCGCAUAAAGCAAAUCCCCAGUGUCUCUGUCCGCUGACCCGUGAGGCGUGAUGGCUGUGGGGAGCCGCGCCGCCGCCUGGCUCGCCGGCGCUGCCCGGCGUAUCGGUUCUGUACCCUGGCGGAACAUCUCUGCCGAGGCCGUCGAUCGCACCCUCCUCGUCGUCAAGGCCGCCUGCUUCGCCCACGUCAUCAACUCCUACGUCGUUAGCCUCGCACUCGUGCGCACCCUACCCUCUCUCUCUCUCUCUCUUUCUCGUCUUCCACACAGUUUGUUAGUCGGUGUAUAGACUCUUCCGCACCGUUUUGUAGGUGAGAGGGCCGAGCAUGCUCCCCACGAUGAACCUCACCGGCGACAUCAUCGCCGUGGAUCGGGUCACCGCCCGGUGGGGCACCGUCGCCGUCGGGGACGUGGUGCUCCUCCGGUCGCCGGAGAACCCGCGGAAGACCGUCACCAAGCGGGUGCUGGGGCUCGAGGGCGACGCCGUUACCUACCUCGUGGACCCGCACAAGGGCGACGCGUCCAAGACUCUGGUGGUACGUCUCGAUCGUUCGAGGGAUCUAUUGGUGGUUGCGGUUGAUCCAAUUGAGUGUGAUUUUGGUGAAAGUUCUGAUUUUUAUGGAAUUUUUGGGGUUUUUUAGGUGCCCAAGGGGUACGUUUGGGUGCAGGGAGAUAACAUAUAUGAUUCCAGGGAUUCGAGGCAGUUUGGGCCGGUGCCGUAUGGGCUCAUCCAAGGGAGGGCUUUUUAUAGGGUACGGAUUUAUUUUGAUCUGUGAUCUUGUUCUCUUGAUCAUGAUAUUAUUAUAAAUUUUUGCCUUUUUUCCUUUUUGUGUUUGAUAGUAAUAGCUACAUUUGGUUCUUAGGGUUUAGAUUUGGAUUUAUUAUUUUCGAUUUUGUUUGCUUAAUUUGUUGGUUCACUUGGGUUUUAAAAUCAAAAUUUGAUUUUUAGCGAACUUGCUCCGGUAAUGUGAGGUUUGAUGAUUUAAUUUUUCUCAUUUACUUGUACAUUGACAAUUGUUUUCACUUAUCCCUAGAUUGUCGUGAUUUAUUGUGUUUUCCAAGUAGUUAAAACUCCGUAUACAUAUGGUACAUUUGGAAAUAUUGUUUGGAAGAGUAAAAAAUGAAGAAAAUGUUUGUUUAAAUUCCAGAGGGAAGUUGCAAGGAUCCAUAGAUCACUUAUCUCUCUUUGUGAAGUGAAGAAACUUCAUAAGCAUAACCAUUAGUUAUUUAUGGAGCAUAUGGAAAGAGUGGAGGAUGAUUGCUUAUGGAUAGUAAAAAAGUGAGUCCAAGAGUGGGCAAUUAAGUUAUGUAAGUAAUGCUAGUCAAAGUUUAUGGGCCACAAUUUGAAGUUAUAAGAGAGGCCUAGAGGCUAGAGGGUAUUGGAGCAAAUAUCAAGGUGGCUGAGAAAGGUCGUUUAGAGAUAAUUUGGUUGUGUCAUAAAAAGGAGAGUCAUUAGUUAACUUUCUUGCUGGCAAUUUGUAUACAAACACGAAGAGAAGAUUGUAAUCGACUUAGAGAAUAUGUCAAACAUUAAGCAAGGCAUACAAGAGGAUGAUAUUGAAACUAUCAAAUACAUUUAUUAGUGAAUGAUGAGUGUGAAAUAUUAUUUGUAGUAGUGGCAUGAUGAUCCCUUAGUUUGCUACCAACUUAGUUUCUUUUCUUUUUAAUGAAAAAUAGGUUAAGGAAAAAUAAUUUCAGAUCCAAAGAUUUGGUUUAGUGGACAAGUAAGUCCCAGACACCUAUUUAAAUUAUAACUUUAUUAAUAGCUAAAUACCUAAAAUAUUCUCAAGGGAAUUUUAACAAAUCAUGUUGCCUAAUUUUCCCCUUGUGUCUCAAUCUAAAUGAGAAUCUGCUACUCAACUCUCUCGCUCCUUCCCUUUUCCACCCACCCCAUCACCUUUCUCCUUCGACUUGGAAUGGUCUCUAUCACAUUUUGUCCACCAAUGCUUCAUCUUUGGCUCAAUCCUCUCUCAUUUUCCUCUCUAUCACUUUUUCUAUUCCUUUAAAGGGUUUUCUACAAACUUAACCCGGUACACAAUCCACAAUCUGUGCACCCCUGUCUUUCCACUUGCCCAACCAUUUCCAUUCCUUGCUGAAUUUUGGAUGUCUGAAAAUGAGGAGGCAUUUCAUAAUUCUACAUGCCUCACAUGGAUCAAAGUCAUCAAUAUAUCAUGAAAUUCACAUGGAGAAAAAUAUUCAACGAACCACUCACUCAUAAAAACUAUUUCUCAAAUAAGAAAUCAGUAUUAAAAGCUUAAACAGAUGGUUUUAUCCUAUGAUCUAGAAGUUCAAUAUAAUCAGAACAUUUGAUGUAAAUCAGUGAGUCCCUUUCUCUAAAAGUUUAUGUACUUCCAUGUGAAGCAAGACAGAAUCAGAUUCCAAACCACUGCUGUUGCAGUUGUAGUUAGCACAAAUAUUGAUUUUUUUUCUACUUUAGUUUCUAACAAACAGAGAUCAAGUAGACUCAUCACACCUGAAGCUUAUAUACAUAAUUGACACUCAGAUAGGUUUAAUAAACCGGAAUAUUAGGCAUGGAUUUGAAAUUCUCAAUUAGCGAGCUGAAUUUAAUAGGAAUAUCUUACAUCAUUACUUUGAAGCUUCUUCCUUCUCUGUUAUUAUGACUAUUAUGUGGUAGACCAGAUAUAAUCUGUAUCCAAUGAUAAAGUGGCUUUGCAUAAGCAGGUGUAUGUUUUUUCCUCCCCUAAACAAGGUGCAAACCUAUUCCAAUCAAGAACUGAUUUCGAGCAGUAUCUUCACUCUCAGAGACUAAAUAUACAAAGAUAAAACAAGGACAUCUAGUGAACAAGUGCUAACUGUACAAGAUAGAAGAAUGGUGAGCAAAUUUAUAUUCUGAUUUUCAAGAACAAGAUCUUAAGUCUACUUCAUGAAGACACUGUGUCAUCCAAAAUAAAUAUUUAAAGAUUUUAAAAGUGAAAAUAAAGAGAUGAGGAGGUGGAAGAGAUAAGCAGUGGUAAAGGUGUAGAAGAAACAGAGUUCGAGAGACGGAAAAGAAAAAGGGAAGGAUUAACACAGAGAUAUCUUGUUCUUGUGAUAAGACUGGAUGGCAGCAUGGGUGAUGGGGCAGAUGGGCACUUGCAUAGAUGAGGGGAGGUGAAGGACGGGUGGGAAAGAGGGUAUGAGUGGAAGUAGAUGGGUCAUAGUCUCAUAGAUGGAUUGAAAAUCCUCUACGGUAUAUCGUGAAAUUUAGCAAACUAAGAUUAAGGGAUGUUUUAUCUGUCCACGAUGUAUUAUUCAUAAAAAAAGGGGGACUAUGCUGGAAUUUUAGACAGAUUAAAGGAUCAUUGUGUCAAAAUCCCCUACUAUUUUUGGUGAGACUUAUGGGUUCCUUGUUUUGAUGCAUGAAUGACCUAUGCACUUAUAAUAGAUGGCAUUAUUGUUGAUAUUUAUAAUACUUAAUUACAUGUUGGAUGUCUAAAUUAUGAGGUGAGAACACAAGUGGGGUUUAAGUUGAAACUUCACAUAGUGAAGGCUUGUAGAAUAUAACAAUAGAAUUUACCUAGCACAUAUUAUUGGAAGGUAAAUAUACAUGUAGGAUAUGUAGUGGAAGUCAAUGUCAAUGACCAAUAGUUACCUUUAGUGUAAUAACCAUUUUUAUGUUUGAUCCUGUGUACGGAUGAACAAAGAGAUGGAAAAAAGAAUUUUCCUUCAAUAAAACAAGGUAGAUGAAGCGGUUAUCUGGUAAGCCGUUCUUUCUAAAGCACUAUAUAAAUAAUAGUUUGUUUCUAAAGCACUGUAUAAAUAAUAGUUUGUUAAGAAGUUUGUUUCACAUGUAACUAUCAAAAGUGUUUCAACUCGGCCAAGAUAUAUUGCUAUGUAUUGGUCUCUACCACUCAUGGAGACCAUCUAAUUGACAUCUCGGCCGUCAUUUUCUUAGCUGAUAUGAUGUGAGAUAUUGGCUGAUAUGAUAUAAGCAGCUGUUAUUUCUCAAUCAAUUUUUACUAUUUAAAUUAAUGUUUUAGUUAUUACAUAUUUAAAUUAAUGCCUUAGUACAAUAAUUUAUUUCAGAUUUACUUUAUUUGUUGAGAUUUAAGUAUCCACAUUCCUAAGAUAUCCCAAAUAUCACGGUUUUUCCCUUUUGGCCGAAGUUUCGAUCUUGGCCAAGAUUAACCGAGAUCUCUGUCCAUCUCGGUAUUGGCCACCCACUGAGAUGGUUGAGAUCUUUGGGUUUGAAAACCUUGGCCACCAUCAACUUCCAAAGAAAUCAAUGUGACAUAGGCAGGUGAUCAUCAAACAAUUCGAGGAUGUGCUUUAAUAUCCGUGAAUGAUCUCAUGAUGUAAUUUUUGUUGAAGGAUGUAGGAAAAGGAGGGGAAGGCCUAAAAGUAACAUGGAUAGAUUUGCAAGAAAACUAUAAAAAUGCUUCAUAUAAUAUCAGAGUUGGCCUAAUAAAAAAUACUUGGUCACCAAGGAUCCUUGAAUCUAACCCCAAUAGUUGGGAGAAGGCUGGAUAAUUAUGCUGGGUGGUUGGAGGAGAAUAGAACAUGUUUCCUCAUCAUUAUAACCAAACAAAUUUACAGUUACAGUAACAUCUCAUUUGUUGAAUUUAACAUCAAUAAAAACCUUAGCCUAAAGUGCAGUUGAUAUAGCAGCUUGGAUAUUUAAAGUAAUGCAGAUUUUCCUAACUGAAUGCAUAUUGAUAUUUAACAUCACUAAUAUCGAUGAAAAUUUGAAUCAAGUUAGUUUUGAAAAUACUCAAACCUUUCUCACUCUUCAAUCCUCUUUAGUACUCAUCUUUAUCCGUACAAUUGAGCAAGCUUAAGCAAGCUCUUUAUUUUGAACAUUCUAAUAAGGUUGUGGACAUCUAACACCAGGAGAGUGUACUCUCCCACGCUGGGCAUGAGAUUUAUAAUCAUCUCUCCCGCCACUCACUGUUGCCUUCCGAUUGCAGAGUUAUUACUGAGUUGGCCAUUUUAAGUGGAUUCAGCCCUAUUUUUAUCCUUUUUCGAAGAAAAAUAGGAAUUUAUUCUUAGAUUUAAGCUUUCUUGUCCUUAAAACUGAUUAUGAAGUCAUGAGUUUAUAUAUGCAUAUUUGAUCUCUUAAUAUUCAUCACAUCAAGUUCAUUUUUAUUAUUUUUAGCAUGGACUACAGUACAUGAUUUCAAUAAAAAUAUGAGAGUAUUUGAUGGCAAGCACAACAAACACUAGUUUUACUUUUAAAUCGAUUGUUACUAGUACAUGAAUCUGUUCAUCACAGGGCCUCUUUUCAGAUGCUCUUAUGAUAAUUCACAAUUGAGGGUGCUAUUCUUUAAAAUUCUUUUAAUGUUUUUCAGGUUUGGCCACCAGAAGGUUUUGGAUUCAUUGGACAAAAGGUAUCUAUAUAAAGGUUCUACUCAGAUGCUUUUUUUUGUAGAUGAUUUAUUAUAGUUCAUGUAAUUUGUUGAUUUUUUAUCCCAUUUUCAGGUCCCAAAUUCCCGGUUAGGUUUUUAGGUGGUAUGAUGAAAUCUUAAAUAUGAAAUCUUAUUUAAGUAUUAUUGCUAUUUCUUUAUUGAGAUGCUGCUAACAAGCUGAUGCCAUAAUUGGUAUAAUCCAAUACAUUUCAACUUUCUAGGCAAGGAUUUUAAUUUCUUAUAUGCCAAUUGUCUCACUGAGGGGCAUAUUGAGAUGAAUCAAAAUAUCAGUUUAUCUCAGAUGAGCUGCAAGGCAGAAGAAUUUUGACCUGGCUGUGAUAUUGCAAUGUUUUGGCCAACAUAUAAUUUCUGAGGUAUUGAAGUAUUGACUGAUGUAGUAAAAAGGAGAUUGACGAUUGUUUUCAUCUUUAAUACUUGUUCACCAAAAAACUCGGCUUAAAUCUUGGUAUCCUGUUGGCUGGUGUUUCAUGAUACGUCAGUUUAUAUUAACACGAUAUAUAGAACCAAUUUUUUAGAUACAGUAUAUCGAUGAAUUGUUGAUACUGGUACAAACCAAUAUCUCAGCCAAGAUGAAAACCAAAAAUUCCAGAUGAAGCCAAUAUAUAAACCAUGGGCUGCAGGUUUUGUCCUUCUGUCCUCAGAGAAGACAGUUCCCCGUUGUACCCUCUUUCCAACAGGUCACUACUAGUUUGGAUUCUUUUAGCUCUGUUGACUGUACUCAACCUUUCAUCCUGAAAAGUAUUUGGGCUGCCAUGCUAUCCAACUCUCUUAAAACAGACCUGCCCACCUCAGCAUUGGCAAAGUUUGUAGCUUUCAAACAGGUGCCAUGGUUGGCGUUAAUAGACUUCUUUUAAUUUUCUCAUCUAAAUUUAGUAAUCAAAAUACAUCAUCUUGCAUAAUGCUGAUCAAUGACUUGAAAUGACUGAUGCUGCUGCUCUUCAGCUGCUAGAACAACUCUUCUUUCAGUAAUGUUCUACCACUUAGCUUGAUUUUGUUCUUUCCAGACCAUUGAUCUACCUUUUUUUUUCCUGUAUUAGCUAAACAGAUACUCCUAUCAAAGGACAUGACGUGACAUUUAUUUUAAUUAAAUAUAAUCUAAUAUGCUAUUUUUAUUAUUUUUUGCCCCCCUUUUCAGGUUACAUCCCUUUGACUAGAACUCAUUGUUCAAGGCCAGAGAUGCAAAAAGAUUGGGCCUGAAACAGGGAUUCCGUGAUCUCUGUUUGAUUAGUCCGAGCUCUAUCUUCAAUUGCAACAAAGUAAUUAAGACACAAGUUUUGCUGCCGCCAGUGGAGCCUUAACAACAAUUUUUGCAGUCGUAAAAGUUGUCCCCUUUUCUGUUUGUUCUUAUUGUUGAAUAAUGUACUCAGAGAUUGGCUUGCUUGUUACUGGCGGCAUUGCAUGUUUUUGGCCAGAGGCUCAUUCUGGAGAGGUUGGAGAUGAAUGUGACCUAUCAUGCAUGUGAAACUUAGCUGAUUUUAACUAUUGGAUUCGAUUAAUUGAAUUGUGUUGGGUUUAUUCCUGUUACCUCUUUGGUUUAAUGGAGCUUGGAUUUUGCCUGUUACAUGAUCUGCACUUCUCAUCUUGGACAGGUUCGAAGCCUACAUCAGGACAUUCUAUAACAGAUUCUGCAAGCUGAAAGCGUGUAUUAGGCGACAUCAGAACCAGUGAUUUGAAUGAAUUGGUUUGCUAUGUUGGACUAAUGUGUUUGAGAAGAAAAACGAUGGUGUCCAAGCGACCAACCUCAGAAUGAUCGAAUAGGACAUGAACAACAUCAUGCAUCCGCAUCCUAAUUUGUUGUAUGCAUUUAGUGGGACAAUUUUCAAGUAAAGGCUGUGUUGGAUGCUCUGAGCCCAAUGUCCGAGAACAACUGUAGGAAGUAAUGAGAAGGGAAUGAAACAAAUUCAGCAAGUAAUGGGAAGGGAAUGAACCCAUAAGCAUCGGGAAGGGACAAUUACACUUUGAAUGUAUUUGGCUCGUGACUGGAGUUGGAAUUUGAACUGAAAUGAGAAUCAGAAUGGCCAUAUUUUUCGAUGCGUUUGGUUUAUGAUUGGAUUUAAGAUUGAAUUAGGUUUUAGGGGAUUAGGGCAAAUUUCCAUUCUCCUCUUGAAUUGGAAUCAGAAUGGAAUUUUUCUCAAUCAAAUAGAUAAAAUGAGAGUUUACUCAUUUUUAUUCUGAUUUUAGGGCCUAACUUUCUCCGACCGUUAAAAUUCGCUAUCCAUAAAUCACCUCUGACCAACAUCUUUCCACCUUUUGGAGGUUCUAGUGGUAGCAUCCUUGUGUCACAAGUCACAUAACAAAUGAGGACUCCUGCUGAUUAAGGGAAUCUUUAGUACAAUUGGUUGCAUAAAAUCUUUCUCUUGGUCCGAGAUUUGCCAUCCAAGAUAUGUUAAUAGCAUAUCUCAGUGUUUGAACCCAGAGGGUUUAGGUGCAUAUAAACCACAAAUUAUUGUUGUUUUUGUUUGCCUAUAAUUUCGAGGCUAAUUUUUGGUCGAGCAAGUUUUGUUAAUAGGAAAUAAAAGAGAGAAAUAAGGAUAUUAUGCGGCAAAUAAUUUAUGAUGGUUUUCUCUAAUAAUAAUUAUACUUAAUAUAAAUAAAUUUGAUCAACAUAAUUAAUAUUUGUUUUUCAUAAGCUGUUUAGCAGACAACUUUUGUUCUAAGUCUUAUUCCAGCUUUAGUCUUGAACCAAGGCGUUGUCUAAGGUAAUGGAAAUUCGAAAGAGCAUUUUUCUCAUUUCCUUAUUGUAGAUGCUCUAUUGUUUAGUUGAAGAACAAAUGGAAGGAUAUCCCCCCAAAGUAUCCUAUUUUUAUUGCCAGUGACCAAUAAAUUGGGCAUUAUGCUAUGGCAGGGAUGUCCCCCACAUGAUUUGUAGGUCUCGAAUAGACCUGUUUAUGGACCGGGCAAGGUUGGCUUUGCUCAAAAGUUAAAAUAAUUUUUUUCGACUUCGAUUCUGCUUAGCCCAACUUUCAGGCCUAUAUAUUUUAAGCACAGGCCUAGCUCUUACCUAAGCUUCAGGUUGGAUCUCGGGCUUCAUGAUAUUUUUUUUAAAUAAUAAAAAAACUUAAAAAAGCUUAAAAAUAUUUAAAAACUACUAAAUAUAAAUAAUUAAAUAUUUCCAACAAUUUACACCAUGCAUAUUACCUUAUUAAGUUCACGUGCCAAUAAUAAUUGUUAAUUAGGUCUACAAGCAUAUCAAACAUAAACAAAUAAUACAAAAAAUGCAAAAAAAUCAGAAUAUAUUGGGCUCUCGCUAGGAUUUAAUUCCCGAGCGCGAGCUUGGCCCGUUUAUUACAUUGGUCUAUUUUUUAGGCCUAGCCCAAGCCAGAAGGUUUAAACCUUAGGCCCGAGCUUAUCUGGCCGUCCAGCUGUGAACAGGUCUAGUUUUCAUGUUCAACUCGAGAUAGGUAGAAAUUCUAUUAGUAGGAAAAAAAAAAACAGGAGUUAGCUGAGAUAAAAAACUGAAGAAGAAGAGUCUUGGCCGACGCACCAAGUGAUAUGAUCGAGCUCGAGUCUAAAUUUUAGACUCCAUAGCCAGUUCAGGUCCUCCAUGGGCUAAGGUGGACCGACUGAUUUUUUUUUUCUCUCCUUUAUAUACGGAAAGGGUUCAAAAUUGAAGUAAAAGAGUUUAAUUAUGUGUUGACGUGACGUCUUUAAUAAGGUGUCAUCCUUU
rnacentral:lncRNA from 1 species